AGUAAUCGGGAGUUCUUCCGGGAGGUAAGUAAAGUCUCAUCAAGAAUUGUUCAACUCAGAAAUAGAACUUGGGGUUUCUUGAACGAUUUGUCCCUUAGGGAGAGCUCAAUAUUUUAAAUGAUUGUUGUUAAAAUGGAAAUUUCUUUGAAGGAAUAAUUAGCUUGAUAGUGUUGGCUAUGAUAUGAUUUUUGGCUAUUUGAGGUUCUCCACCGGCCUGACUUUUAUGAUACAGGAAAAGCAUAGGCUUCACUUAGUUGGUAUCUGAUUUAACUACUGAUAUCAAAUGAUUCAUUAUUUGAUGGCUUCUUUUGAACUUUCAUGUCUAUGGGUUUUGUUUUAGCCCGGAAUUGUUGAUUAUGUCUUCGGAGGGAUCCUAUUAUGUGUAUGUUUGGUUUGAGCUUGUCACUAAAAUGGUCAUCCCUCAUCAGCAUGGCACAAACAUAUAAUUGAUUGCUUGAAAUUUUAAUGUUUGAGAUGAGCAAUAUCUUUGCCUACACAUUCAUUAAUCUUUCCUGAUCCUUUAUGAUAAUGCACUGCAUCUUUUACGAUUUAUUAAAGUUUGUAGGUGUGGUGAAAAUAAGGGAAAAAAAAAUGCCUCCCUUAUCCUAUUUUCAUCUUCGAAAUUAGAUGUUUUGGGAGGGAGGAAAAAAUAAUUUUGAAUUUGUAGACUUCGCUAUCCUGGUUUUUUACCAAACUGCUAUUAUAUAUAUUCCUAGCAAUCCAUCUUAACAUUGCUGCCUUUAGCUUCUUUACUUUCAUAUUGUGCAAGUCUCAGUUUUAAAGUUUCUUCACGCCAGUUCAAGCCAUAUCAGUUAAUGUUUCUGCAACUUAUUUUUCCCCUCCCUAGCCUUCCCCUUUAACCAAAUCAUUCAAGAGAGCUCACCCCAUCAACUCCUUUCAUUUGAAUGAAACAGAUUGUAAGUGCAAAUUUGUGACAUAACUCAUCAUCGCACCAUUGUGUUCUGUCAAAAUUCAAGUUAAAGAAAAGGCCAUUUAUAUCUUGUUUACUAAUGGUUCAGCUUAGAGUUUUCUUGGUCUUCNNNNNNNNNNNNNNNNNNNNNNNNNNNNNNNNNNNNNNNNNNNNNNNNNNNNNNNNNNNNNNNNNNNNNNNNNNNNNNNNNNNNNNNNNNNNNNNNNNNNNNNNNNNNNNNNNNNNNNNNNNNNNNNNNNNNNNNNNNNNNNNNNNNNNNNNNNNNNNNNNNNNNNNNNNNNNNNNNNNNNNNNNNNNNNNNNNNNNNNNNNNNNNNNNNNNNNNNNNNNNNNNNNNNNNNNNNNNNNNNNNNNNNNNNNNNNNNNNNNNNNNNNNNNNNNNNNNNNNNNNNNNNNNNNNNNNNNNNNNCUAUUUAUUUACAACAAUAUUUAUUGGGUUAAACCAUCUUAAGUGAAGUUCUAUCAUUUCUAAUCUCAUUUUUCUUACAUGUCUUUUCAACCACCAAAUUUUCAUCUUAGGUACACUCAGGUUAGGUUCUUAUUGGAAUUUUAUACACUUAGACCACUGUUACUUGUAGUCUUAAUUAUGGCUUCUUGGGAAUUUUUGUUUUAUGAAAUCUGGAGACACCUUCGAUAACUGAUAACACAUGAAGCAUUUUCUCCAAUUCAUUCAUUGAGCUUGAGUUCUAUGAUUUACAACUCUCUAUUUCUCCAUACCAUGUAUGCUUGAUAAUCCAACUUUGACAUACAUCAAGUAGUACUUUUAUUUUCUUUCUUUCUUUUAAAACUAUUUGAAUCAUGUAUGAUUGAUAAUACAAUUUGGCCAAUUGCCUUGUGUGGAUAAUGCUGAUAGAGUUGAAGUUUGUUUUUAUAGUUGUUGCUUACUUGUUUUUAAGAGGGUAGAAUUUUGUUAUGUUGGUGCUUUAUUUUGAUUUGCAUUUUCUUCUUCCACAUUCCAUAACUUUCGCUGCUAAUUUUAUAUUUCUUCUUCCUUAGAGUUUAUGUUGCUAAGAUUCCCUUUUAUGUAGCUUUUUCCGUAUUUUUCUUUUCCUGAUUUAGUUGUUGUCUAUGAAGCCCAUAUUGUUCAAAAAAUGGAGAAGCAUCAAUGUCUUAUAGAUGGUUCUUAUAGAAGCAUCAAUGGAGAAGCAUCAGUUACCAAUUUCUUUCAUUCAUAUAGAUGAUUUAGUCCUCAAAUAUGAUUUUUUUUUAUAACUUUUAUCCUAUGCAGGUUUUGUGCUGUUCCUCUCUUUAAUGAUUGAUAGAUUGCACCAUUACAUAAGAGAGCUUCGAUUACUCAGGAAGACAAUGGAAGCAGUUAAGAAACAAACCCGAAGUUUUGAGGAUGGUAAAAAUGGCAACACAGAGGAGCAAAAAGCAUUGACCGAAGAAAUUACUACAUUGAAGUCUAAAGUUAAGAAGCUCGAAUCUGAAUGCGAGGCGAAAGGAAAUAAGGAAAAGACUUUGGAAACCGAAGUAGAGGCUCUUAAAAAGCAAUCUGAGGGAUUCCUUAUGGAAUACGAUCGCCUCUUAGAAGACAAUCAGAAUCUUCGGAGUCAGUUGGAGGCCAUUAAUCGUUGAUCACAGCUCUUCACUUCUUGGUAACAAAAAGAGUACAUGACGGAGGUUAAAAUGUCUAGAAAAAGAAAAACAGGUUUCUCUUUGUUUCAAAUGCUGUUUUAGUGUUACAUGCUUGCUUGAUGAGUACAGAGUUGUAAAUUUGAAGUUCUAAAAAACAGCCAUGUUGAUUAAGUAAAAACUUAACUGUUAUUCAAGCAGCUAGCUCAUAUAUAUUAUUAUAAAGGAACAGAUUAGUUAUUGCCAUAGGAUGGUCUUGAAAUUUUUAGUUUGGAUGCAACUGUGCAUCAUUGUGUGAACUUGGAAAUCCUGGAGGAUUAUCAUACAUAUUUGAUAUAUAUAUUAUGGAUCUUAGAUCAUAUGGUAGUUGUCAUAUGACAGAUUGAUGUGCAUUGCGUUCUCUUGAAGAUUCCAGAGAUCACAGUAUAAUUUAUUUUUACUAAAUUCUUUGGAAUCUUUAGAGUUUGGUUGGGUACCAGUACUUCAUUGGUAAAUUUAUUAUACUCNNNAUGUGUCCACCUCAUAAUAGUCGAUCCCGCCGGGAUCCCGGUGGAGCGUCCCGUCUCAGUGCCUUGCAAUCCAAGAGCAGUAACUUGGACCAAGCCUAUAGAAGGUACCGUGUGUCUCAACAUGGAUGGUAGCUUGAUGCAUAAUAAUAAUGGUGAUUUUAUUUUGGGUUUUUACGGGGCUGCAGUAGUCCCAAACAUUUUAUUCGCAGAGCUUAUGGCCGUGUUACAUGGUCUGCAAAUUUGUUGGGAGAAUGGAUUCAGAAAAAUCAUUUGUUUCUCAGACUCGCUGCAGGGAGUUAGUUUAAUUCGGGAUGGAGUUUCAGCUCAUCACCGGUUUGCGAAUGAAAUUUUUAGUAUCCGCCAGUUUCUCAGUAGAGAUUGGGAAGUGGUAGUGGAGCAUACACUCCAAGAGGGUAAUGCUUGUGCGGAUGUGUCGGCCAAGAUGGGUGCUCUUGCUGACUCGCCGUUAAUGAAAAUUACUUCUCCUCCUAGUAGCUUAGCUAUGCCCCUUCUUGCUGAUGCGCGGGGUGUAGUUUUUAUCCGAGAGUAGUUUUAUUUUUUCCUGCUUUGUUUGGUUUUUUCUUUUUCUCUAUUGUAACAAAAAAAAAAAAACCUAGUUAUCUUUAUGAAUGAGUUGUGAAGAGGAUAAAUCAUUUACAAAUGUUUGUGUAAAUAAUAACAAUUAUUGCCAAAAAAAUCCAACAGUUAGCUCUUUGUCAUUAAAUAAGCCUAUCUUUGGUGCACAAAUCUCUUUUCAACAUGUAUAAAUGUCGAAAUUGCUAAGCUAUAUUGUGUGAGUUUUUAAUGGCUGACCAAUUUGUCUAUGCACCAAACAAAAAAAAGCUCUGUUAGUUAGCUUUGGACAUUGGUUAAUGAGUAAAGAAACACCGAAUGAGGUUUAAUUAGGAGGUCAAAGAUUUGAUUUUAAAAAGUUGAAUGCAAAAAUUUUAAGAUAAUAUUUUGAGUUUAAUUGUUGUGCACUAACUCCAUUGCAUAAGUAGAUCGCGGCGGUGCUCUAACUCCAUUGCAUAAGUAGAUCGCUAAAUUAAUUUUUCCAUAUACCAUACAUAUAUUCACUUGCUUACAUUCAAAUAAGAAAAGGCUUUGGAGUUGGAGUACUGGCAGAAGUGCACUACCAAAGCCACAUCUAUAAUUCUCUCAAGGUUGUUCCGUUGUUGCCACAUCCAUUGUUCCCAUCCCUAAAAAAGUAAAAAUAUUUCUUCCACUUUUCUUUUAUUGUUGGUAUGUUGCAUACCAAAUGGUCAAGAGGUGGGAGUCAACCAAAGUUAAUAUUUAUAAUUCCUGACCAAUUUAUUAUUUGUUAUGUUGCAUACCAAAUGUAAAUUAAUAAACUUAAAUACUUAAAAAUUAAUAGAUUUAUAAUUUAAUCAAAGUACAAAAUUUAAUAUAUACUACCUCCGUCUCUAAUUAUAAGACUAUGUUUGACAAAAAUGUACUAUUCACUUACUUUGUUUUAAUCGUAUUUUUUUAAUAAUAUAUAAAUGUAAAUAUUAGCAUAUAUGAUAUUGUUCAAUUUGUUUUGAUGAAUAUUUUCAAAAUAUUAACUUUUUAUAAUUUUUACUAAUAGACAAUUAAUAAUAUCAGUGAUCAAAAUUGUGCAUUAACGUACGUGCAGUGGUCAAACAUGGUCUUAUAAUUAGGGACGAAGGUAGAUAAUAAUCAUAGUAAAAAUAUUAAUCAUAUUAACUUAAAUAGGGCAGCCUAGUAGGCCUCAAUCAAAUUUUUUUAAUGACCUACAACCUAACAUUUUUAGCUAAAUAGACUUAUAAAAAAGUAUUAAUAUGCUCUAUUUAAAGAAAUAGGCUGACCAAAGGCUAUUUUAAUAUAUUUUUUAUUUUUUUUAUUUUAUUUUAUACAAAAAGUUGUCAGUUUAUUAUAUCAUCCAUACCAUGCCAGCCCCAUUUGAAUUUGUGCUAAAUUAAUAAUUAAUACGUUAUUUCUUUAUAAACUUUUCUUAUAAAUAGAUUUUUUAUUUUUUUUGGUUACAAAAUAGAUUAAAAUUUAGAAUGAGAAAACGACUAUACUCCCAUUCAGCGUGUUUAUAUUUUAAACAUAUAUCGCCGCAUGCAUCACAAAUCCACAAUUUGUGUGUGAGAUUCACCUGAAAUUGAAAUGUAGAUCAUUUCUCAAUAUUAUUGUGAACAGGAAUGUUAGCAACUAUAUCUUUUGAAUAGUCACUUUAACAUUCACUUUUUAAUUGAGUGGAAUUAUAAAGUGAGAGAACAUAUUAAUUUUAAACGAUUGGGUUUUAAAAAAUGUUUAAAAGAGAGUGUUGCAGCACUCCUCUUCAUAAUAAUGUUUAGAAUUGAGAUCAACACUUCAAUUUCAUAUGGAUCCUACACACAAAUUGUGGUAGUAUUUAUCGAGCAUGUUUUCCGAUUAUAUACGGCGCAUUUGUUUUGUAGCUUCUCUUUUACCGGUUUAUUUUCGUCUUGAACAAAGACCUGAUUUUUAAUAAUAAUAUAUUUCCCCGUUAAAAAAAAAGUAUUUAUCAUGCGUGCGAUAUAUGUUUAAAGUUUAAAUACACUCAGUUGGAAUAUGUAGUUGUUUUUUCAUUCUAAAUUUCAAUUUAUUUAUAAAAAAAGUUUAUAAAAUAUUUGCACUUACUAUAAACAAAUCACUAAAUGAUAACUUUGUAUAGUCUACACUCUACAUUAUUCACGAUGACAUUUCUUGUAAGUUUAGCUCAUGUAUUUUACAACAAAGCAUUUAAAAACAUUAGCAUUUUUUUUAUAUAAAAAAAAUAUGAACGACAUCAUAAUGUGUUGGUACACAUGACUUUUGCAUACUGUAUGUAACAAGAAUAUUGUUUUGAAGCUAAAUGAAAUACAUUUCAUGUGGGUAUAUUUGUACGUUAGAUUCAAACCUUAAUCAAACACGAUUUGACUCAAGUCGGUGCAUAAAGCAAUAACGUAUUCCUUAUUAUGAUAUAUUUAGCAUAAAUUCAAAUGAGGGGCAUGGGUAUGCAUGUUAUAAUAACUCACGUGAAAAAACCUGGCUAUAAUAAUUACACUUAUUUUAUAUUUUUUUAGUUACUAUGUUAUAGGUACAAGUUUUCUAGCACCGACUAAUUGCCGUCAGAGAAUAUGUGGGGCAUAUAUGAUAUAUGAUGAGUCCAUACACAAAAGUAGUCAAAAAUUGAACCCAGUAUAUGUUUAAAUGACUCAAGAUCAUUAGUAUUUGGGACCAAUUUAUUGUUGAUAAUAAUAACACUUUUUUUUUGUCAAGUAGUUUAGUGAUUAAAAAUUUNNNNNNNNNNNNNNNNNNNNNNNNNNNNNNNNNNNNNNNNNNNNNNNNNNNNNNNNNNNNNNNNNNNNNNNNNNNNNNNNNNNNNNNNNNNNNNNNNNNNNNNNNNNNNNNNNNNNNNNNNNNNNNNNNNNNNNNNNNNNNNNNNNNNNNNNNNNNNNNNNNNNNNNNNNNNNNNNNNNNNNNNNNNNNNNAGAUCAUUAGUAUUUGGGACCAAUUUAUUGUUGAUAAUAAUAACACUUUUUUUUUUGUCAAGUAGUUUAGUGAUUAAAAAUUUCAUUUUAAAAAUGAAUAAGUGAGAUGUACAGAGUUCAUAAUAAUUACCGUUUUAUUUUGUGCAAAUGAUACUUUCAUUUUAUUUUGUGCAACUAANNNNNNNNNNNNNNNACGGUUUUAUUCAAAUACUCACAUGCCGUUUAAAAUUAAAAAAAAAACUCAUAUGCUCACAAGAUAAAUGACAAUUUUAGUUCAGCUAAUAAUAAUGUCUCCUUCACGUGUGUAAGUUUUUAUUGACUAUUGUUAUUUUGUCUAUUAAAAAAUAUAUUGUACAAAUUUUGAAACUUCUAUAAAUUCCAUCCAUUUUCAGAAACUAAAUUCAUCAAUAUUUCACAUCAAUAGCAUUUUAGAAUAACAAAAAAAUGGCACCAACAUUUUCAACCCCACUCAAAAUCACGUCCUUCUCAAUUUUCCUUUUGAUCAUAACCAUCAACAUAGCUAAUGGUCAAGGACCUCAACCAAAUCAACAAACAUCAACCUUGGUGUUCUACCUACAGGAUGGCGGAAAAGGUCCCAACGCAACCGUCGUGCCGGUUAUCGGCAUAAACGGAAAGGAUUGGUCAUACAACUCAUUUGGAACAAUAUUUGUAGUCGAUGACCCUAUUACGAUUAAUCAAAGUCCACUUUCGACUCAAAUAGGUAGGGCGCAAGGUGUGAUUACUGUGGCUUCUCAAGAUGGUACAAAUGUGAACAUAGUUUUGUCAAUUGUGUUCAACAAUGUGCAAUAUAGUGGUAGCACUUUGGAGAUACAAGGUACAAGUCGUCAACGUGAAAAUUUAAGAGAGCUCUCUGUUCUUUCGGGAACAGGACGAUUUCGAUUUGCAAAGGGUUAUGUUGUGUUUGAAACUGUAUCUUAUGAUGCUCAAAAUAAUCAGUCUAUUAUUCGCUUGAGUGUAACUUUGGCAAUACCUUAAGAAGAUUAUGUAUUAUUAUAAGAUGAAUAAAACAACCUUUGUGGAUUUGAGAAUAAUACAAAAAAUAAUUUUUUUUUUACAAUAAAAAAUAAUUUUAUUUAAUUAUUACGGAUUUUAAGAUCAUAUCUGUUGUGAAUUUGUCAAUAAAAUAACACCAAUAAAAAACUUGAUGUGUGGAGCAAUAGAACGACAACCAUUAACAAGCGGAAUAAGCAAUAAUAAUAAAACCUCUAAAAACGAUAAUAGAAAAAAUAGUAAAGUAGUUAAAGAUUAGUUUAUACAAUGAAAUGAAAUAGAAUUUUUUUUCCUACAAGAAAUAGAAUAAAAUUUUAAUUAUUCAAUUAGUAGGACACUCGUGCGUGGACUCACGGAGUCAGUGUAUGUUUGGUUUCAAUUCUGGAGCAUCCAGAAUUGAUUCUGGACGUGUAAAAUUGAUUCUGACUUGUUUGGUUUCUCAAAAGUAGAAUUGAUUCUGCCUCCAGAAUUGAUUCUACUUNNNNNNNNNNNNNNNNNNNNUUUCAUGAAUAUAUCCAAACAUAAACCACUUCAGCUUAAAAUCAAUUUUGGCCAGAAUCAAUUUUACAGAAUCAAUUCUGCCAAAAUCAAUUCUCUCCGCCGCAGAACCAAACACACGCUCAUUUGUUGCCACUCCUCAGUAGUUAAUUGUUUGAUAGGAUAAAAGGAAACACAAUAAUUUAGUAGUAUAAUUUAAAGGUUAAAUAUAUUUUUUAUCUCUAUAAAUAUCUUAAAUUUAAUUUUUACUCUCUAUAAAAACAUUUAGAAAGUUUUGGUCCUUAAAUAUUUUUUGCCAUGAAUUUUGAUCCAACUCGUUUAUAUAUUUCAAAAUUUUAAAUUUUUUCUGCGGUCACUUUUAGUACAUUAUAGUAAUUUCCCUUACAAAAAUUAUAACUAUUUUAACAAAGGAUGAAUUAAACAUGAUUUUUUUAAAAAAAAAUUUGUGCAUAAAAAUUUCAUAAAUAACCCAUCUUAUGUUAACAAAUUCUAAAUUUUUGUGGGAAAAACGUGUAUACAAAAAAUCAUUAAAAAUCAUGAAAGUACACAAAAGUUGAUUAAAAGUAGGGACUGAAAAUUACGACAGAAUAUAUUUGAGGAUGAAAAGUUGCUGGAAUUUUUUAUAGGAUCUAAAAACAAAAUUCAAAAUAUUUUCGAGGAACAAAAACUUAUUUAACUCUUAAUUUAAUAUGAAAAAUUUAAAAUGAAAAAUUAUCAUGUAAUAAUAAGCAAAAAUGAUUUUAAUGGUUAAAGUACAUAUUAUAUAUUCAUACAAAAAUAAAUAUCAGUAUUGAAAAAAAUAAUAUUUAUAUUUAUAAUUGAGAAAAAUAGAGAUUAAAAAUAACUAAAUGAUUGAGAAUAUUAAAAUAUGGAUUCUCGUAAAAUUACAAAGUAAAAUUAAAAAUAGACUUAUGUAUUAAUAUACGAGCAAAAAUAUUGGUUCAUGUAAAAAUUAUAAAAAAGGUCUUCGUAUUAAUAUAAGUAGAAAUAAAGGUAUACCCAUAGAUUUAAAAAAAAAAACAAAUUUGUAUUAAUAUAUGAGUAGAAAUAUAUACUCUAGUAUAAAUUACAAAAGAAAAUCUCUUAUUAACAUGAGUAGAAUUGUAGAAAUACAGGUUCAUGAAAUUAAAAAAAAAGCCUUUAUUUUUUUUCAAGACUAAGGGUCUUUUUGAAUUGACUUAUUUUUAAGCUCAUUAAAAAUAGUUUAUGCAAAUAAAUAAACUUUUAUGUAUUAUUAUAAGCUUGUCAAGGUAAUUUAUGAAAAUAUCUUAUAGAGAUACAAUUUUCGUUAGUGAGAACUUAUGAAUUAACAUAAAGACACAUAUAUGUUUAUAUAAGAUAUUUUUCAUAGGCAAACAAAUAAGGUAAUCCAAACGGACGGCUUCAUUCUAGUUUGAAUCUAGAACUUUGUAGUUGUGUGUGUUUUAGCGGUGUUUAAUUACCACUUUAUCUAAGACUAAAAAAGUGGGUAAAGUAUAAAAUGAAAAUGUCAAUUGUCAUAUAAAAAACUAAUUAUAUUUUAUGAUCGCUAUAUUUGCAAUUUCAACUUUGAAUUCAGUGGUACUAGAGGUUGUUUAUGGUUUAAUUUGGACUUUAAAACAAGAUAAAUAAAUAUUAAAAUAUACAUAUGCCAUUUAAUUUGAUCUUUUUACAAAAAGUAAUGCAAACAUAUAAAAAAAUAUUUAAUUUUAUGUGAUUUUUGAUUUAUUUUUUUAUUUUAUUUUUUUUAAUUUACGAUUUUAAUUUACGAUUUUAAACACCCGUUACGUACAUGAUAUACUGAUUUUAACCUGUAAAGUUAUUUCCUUCCGGAUCUCAUAAUCAAGUAUUUUGCAUACAUAUAACAAGAAUAAUGUGUUGAAACGCCCUUAGUUUGUCCUUCAAACCUUAAUUAAUUAAUUAAUUAAUCCAACAUGAUUUGUCCCAGGUCGGUGUAUAAAGUAAUAACGUGUUCCCUCCCUCCCUCUUACGAGUAAUGAGGGUUAGGAAUGGUAUGAUGGUAAGCAUGAUAUAAAUGCCAACUUUUAUACUCUCUUUGCAUUUUCUUUUUUAGGUUUCUUCCAUUUAAUAAUAUACUCCUAUUCGAGGCGUAUAAAUAAUGUGGAUAUUUCUUCUGAUCAACAUUGAUUUAUCAUGUUGUAAGAGUUUAAUCUAUUACGUUAGACUAAUGACCAGCCAUUUAGGCUAGUAUGUGUUAACAUAAUGAGUGUCAUUUUAUCUUUUUUUAAAUAGUAUUAACUUUGUCAAAAAAAAAUAGUAUUAACUAUAUUAAAUAAGAUUUUAAUUCUUAUAAAAUGACCAAAUUUAGAUUUUUGUCCGUACAAUAAUAUUAUAUUUGUUAGUCUUUGUUGAUAAGUUAACAUGUAUUUUUUUAAACAUUAAAAAAAUAACAUAUAUUAUUAAUUUUUUUGCAAACAUAAUUAAAAGUUUAUAAUUCUUCCACAAAAANNNNNNNNNNNNNNNNNNNNNNNNNNNNNNNNNNNNNNNNUUUGAACAACAAAUGCUCAACAUAAAAGUAAUGAAAAUUAAAACCUAAAAAUCAAAUUUUGAAAUAUUUUUUGCAAAGGAACUUUUGUCCUAAACAUGAUUAUAUUCUGAAACAUAUAAUUCAUUAAUAUAUGGUGAGUUUGUACUUUCUAAAUUGUAGUAGUAUAUAGAAUUUAAUUUAUAUGCACCGUCGGUGUAAAGUUAUUUUGCACAUGCGUCCAAUAAUAUACCGACACAUCAUGUAUGGUCAUUAAAAACACAUGAUGUGUCACAUUCAUUAAAUGAUGUGGCAACACGUCAUUGAAUGUAUGUGUAAAAAAAAAUUACACCGACGGUGCACAGCAAUUAAACUCGUAGUAUAUAUGCUUACGACUCCCAAAUUAUUAUACCAGCUAAUGAGAAAAUAUGAAUUACCGUUUCAUGUAACUAAUUUAUUUACGGUGUUACAUUGACAUACUCACAUGAUAAAUGAUACACAAACUUGAUAAUAUGAAAUCUUUAACGUUCUACCCAAAAAAAUAUUCCUUUUACACAUUCAUGAAAUCAUUGAGUCUUCCUUUAAACUUAAUUUCUGCCUCUAACCACUUCUAUAAAUUUCAUUCAUUUUGUGAAACUAAAUUCAUCAAUAUUUCUCAUCAAUACCAUUUUGCAAUAGAAAUUAAAAAUGGCACCAACAUUUUCAACCCCAAUCAAACUCAUGUCCUUCUCAAUAUCACUUUUCUUAAUCAUCAACAUUGUGAAUGCUCAACAAUCAACCUUGGUGUACUACCUACAAGAUAUCGGAAGAGGAUAUAACCAAACCGUUGUGCCAGUUAUUGGCAUCAACGGUAGGGUUUGGUCCUACAACACAUUUGGAACAAUAUUUGUAGUUGAUGACCCUGUUAUGUUAGAUCCUAGUUCACUUUCAACUCAAGUUGGAAAGGCACAAGGUGUAAUUACCGUAACAUCUAUAGAUGGUACAAAUGUGAACAUAGUUUUGUCAAUUGUGUUCAACAAUGUGCAAUAUAGUGGUAGCACUUUGCAGAUACAAGGUUCUAGUCAUCAACGUGAUAAUUUAAGGGAACUCUCUGUUAUUGGUGGAACAGGAAGGUUUCGAUUUGCAAGAGGUUAUGCUGUGUUUGAAACUGUAUCUUAUGAUGCUCCAACCAGUCACUCUAUUAUUAGGUUGACAAUAACUUUGGCAAUACCUUGAGAAAAUCAUAUGUUUAAUGCUUGUUGAUAUAUAAUCAUAUGGAUGUAUGAUGUCAUACAAGCUAUAUUUAUGUACCAAUCGAUUAAAGUUAUAAAUAAAGGGCAUAAUUUGAACCUUUUAUGUUAGUGUCACACAUUUCACUUUUUUAUCUUCUUUUUAGAUUUUUUUUUCUUCGUGGGAUUGUGAUGGGAGGAGAGUAGAUGAAAUAUGUUUAAUAUGAUUCCAAAAAUAAGAAUGGUCGUCAUUGUUUAUUUUUUAAGGAAAAAUAUCGAAAAUAAAAAUUAUAAAAAUAGUUUAGAAAACUAGAUUUUAUUUUCGGGAGUUUUUAUUUUAUUUUUAUGAGUUGAUUACCAUAGGACAAAUAUUAGCACCUUAAGGAAGCCAUUAGGCUUAGUCAAAAAAAGAAGAAAAGGAAAACAUUAUAUUUGGUUUAACGGUGAGAAAUUUAAGUAGUAUGCAUAUAUAAGGUUUAGGUUCGAUCAUCUACUCCAUUGUAAAAAAAAAUUAGCACCUUAGGACACAUUUGAAAACCGUAGCUGUAGUUGGCACGUUAAGAGCAAAAGAUAAUUUUUUUAUCUCAACUACACACACAAACAAAUUUUCUUAUAAGAAUUUGACAUUUGAUAUGUCAAUUUUGAAAGAUUGGGUUAGACUCAACUCAAACUUUUUAGAUUGUAUUAUAGGUUCUUCAAGAUCUUUUGGAACACCUGCUAUCAGAUUAACCACCGGCCAUUAACACAUCAAACUUAAUAAUACUGGACGUGAUGUUGUAUGUAUCACAUUGAUUGACCGAAGAUAUAUUAAUAAGUGAGGAGCAAUUCUCACUUUACUGNNNNNNNNNNNNNNNNNNNNNNNNNNNNNNNNNNNNNNNNNNNNNNNNNNNNNNNNNNNNNNNNNNNNNNNNNNNNNNNNNNNNNNNNNNNNNNNNNNNNNNNNNNNNNNNNNNNNNNNNNNNNNNNNNNNNNNNNNNNNNNNNNNNNNNNNNNNNNNNNNNNNNNNNNNNNNNNNNNNNNNNNNNNNNNNNNNNNNNNNNNNNNNNNNNNNNNNNNNNNNNNNNNNNNNNNNNNNNNNNNNNNNNNNNNNNNNNNNNNNNNNNNNNNNNNNNNNNNNNNNNNNNNNNNNNNNNNNNNNNNNNNNNNNNNNNNNNNNNNNNNNNNNNNNNNNNNNNNNNNNNNNNNNNNNNNNNNNNNNNNNNNNNNNNNNNNNNNNNNNNNNNNNNNNNNNNNNNNUUUAGAUUGUAUUAUAGGCUCUUCAAGAUCUUUUGGAACAUCUGCUAUCAGAUUAACCACCGACCAUUAACACAUCAAACUUAAUAAUACUGGACAUGAUGUCAUAUGUAUCACAUUGAUUGACUGAAGAUAUAUUAAUAAGUGAGAGGCAAUUCUCACUUUACAGAUCAGUUUUAUAAGAUGGAAAUAAACUCAUAGAUAUGCAAAUCCAGACCAAUAGAAAAAAUAAAAAUAAAAGUUCUUUUAUAUUUUUUUAGUUUUUUUAAGGAAUCUCGUACGCAAAUUUGGAUUUCUGACUGUGUAUCCAAACAACAUGCACAAAGUAGAUUCCAUUGUAGUGAGUUGAUAAAUUACAGCUUGCUUGUUUUACCUUUUAGUCGUGGCAUUCAUCUUUUUACACUAUAUAUGGAAUCUAACAAACAAUGCAAUGAAAUGUGGUCAUAUCCAACAACACUCCACACAAUUACUGUAAAUGGAAAUUAAUGAACUCUAGUUGGCCCUAUGGCUAUGGACAUGAUUGUACAUAAUUCACUUAUUUGAGAAAAUUAUAGCUCAUGGUUGUACAUGCAUCUGCAAGAUGUGUGCAUGAUGGAAGUUGAUGUUACAUUUGUGUGUGGGGGCAAAAGUUGGUAUAGAAUAGGGAACUUCAUUAAUUGCCUAUAUUAGGUUUCAUGAUCCAUAUACGAUCCAACUAUUGUACAUAUGUGGGACAUCUUGUUAAUAAUUAAUGUUAAAAAAUUAUCAAUAAUUGAGUUUAGUAGAUGCAUGGUUAAUUUAAUUUACAAUUAAAAUUGUGAUUAAUUUAACUACGUAAAUUAACUACAACUUUUAACGUAAAUUUAAUUGACCAUCAAAUCAAUUGAAUUAACUAUAUUUUUGCACAUUAUUAAUCUGGUAUCAUGGGAGCAUGAAAUUUUUAUUUUCUUUCACUUUUCACAUGCAUUAAAAGAAGUUUGUAGUAGUCCCUGUGAGCCUAGCUCAGUUGGUAGGGACAUCACACAAUAUGUGUAUCACACUAUAUGUGCAGGAGUCCGGGUUCGAACCUGAGACACUUCAUUUAUUCAUUUUAAGGUGAAUUUUCUAGCUAUUAGACUAUACUUGACAAAAAAAAAAGUUUAGUGAUCAAGAUUUGGGUCUCGACUAUGAGAGCUUUCCAAGUUUUAGUCCCAAAUUAUAGAAAAUUGCUUCCAGGUCACAAUUAUUUGGCAUAAUUUUCGAAACACACACCAAAAAACAUAAAUUAAUUAUUCAAAAAAUACACAUUAUUUUUUUUUUUACUUUUACAGGUCACAACCAUUUUCUUUGUAUAUUUUUUAAAUUACUUAUAAAUGUCGAGAAUCUAACCUAAAAUAUAUGAGGAGAAUCUAACCUAAAAGAUUAAUGGCUUAAUUAGUUAAAUGGUCCCUUAAAGACAUUUUAGGUUUUAUAAUGGUUCCUUAAAGACAUCUCUGUUAACCACAUUGGUCUCUUCCGUUAAUUUUUAGCCCCAAAAUUAUAAGGUGGAUCAACAUUAUAGUGGUCCACCAUAAACCUCUUUAAUUUUUAAAUUUUAACCGUUUGAUAUACUUUUGUCUAAAUAAACACCAUUGAAUCUUAUAGGUCUAUUGUAUUCAAUGAUGAACCAUCAAUACCUAAUUUUGUUUUCCUUUCCUUCAUCUUCUUCAUUCAUUUGUUUUGAUGUUCUUCAUCAUCUUCAUAAUACAAAUCCAAACAAAAAACCAGAACUAUAAUCAAAGCUAAAUCCAGAACACUAUUCAUGAGUUUUUCAAUUUCAUCAUUUUUUUUUACCAAUCUAGAACACUAUUCCAGAACAAUAAUCUCUGUUGUUUCAAAACCCAAAUCCAGAACACUAUCAAUUUUUACCAUCAUUUCUUCAUCAAUCAAAGUUUUCCAGAUUUCUUCCUCAUUUUCUCCAUAAAUCAAAGCUUCAGUCUUUCUUCCUUUUCCCACAAUGAACUUAUUCAUGAGUUUAAGAAUUGAUGGAUUGCGUUUAUUCACGAAGCUUUGCGUUUUUGUGUGUUACGAUGUUCUGGGUUGAACUUGUUGGUGAUUGAGAAAUGAGAACGAUCUCUGCAAUAUGGUGGAGGGAGGUGGAAGAUUAGAGUCUCUGCAACAUGGUGAUUGAGAACGAUUUCUGAAUGAAUUUGUUGUUCUGGGUUGCGUUGUUCUUGUUCUGGGUUGCGUUGUUCUUGUUCUUGUUAUGGGUUUCAUUAGAUAGGUGUUGAAGAACAAAUGAGUGAAGAUGAUGAAGAAAAGGGGAAAAAUUAGGUGUUGAUGAUUUAUCAUUAGAUACAUUGAUCUACAAAAUCCAAUGGUUCUCAUUUAGUCAAAAAUAUACAAUGAUUCUCAUUAAGUCAAAAAUAACUUUUGGUGUUAAAAGUUAACGGAAAGGACUAAUGUAGCAAACAGAGAUGUCUUUAAGGGACCAAUCUGAACCUUUUUUUCUUUAAGGGACCAUUAUCAAACCUAAAAUGUCUUUAAGGGACCAUUUUACUAAUUAAGCCAAGAUUAAUCUAAUAAAUCAGAGAGUAUCAUAUCUGACCACACCACAGUUAAAAAUAUUCUGUUAAAAGUAAUUGAACACAUCUGAAAUCGUCUGCUGCAAUUCAUGAUGCAGUUAUAUUGGGGCCAUGUGAUUAAAUAUCACACCGUAACUAAGGUGCAAUGCCGCGUAAAAAAAAAAAAACUAAGGUGCAAUGCAGUUGGUGAGCCUACCACAUCAACCAUAUUGCAACCGCAAUUCUAAACCAUACAUCUAAACUUUAUUAUUGGAGGAAAUUUAAGCAUUAUUGGUUUGCAUUUUAAUUUUAAACGUCGUAAAUCUCUCGUGCGUCUUCAAUUAUUUUUUUUUUUGACAAUUCAAUUAUUUAAACAUUAUUUGGUUGCAUAUUUCUUUUGUUCGCUGAUCUGGUGGUAGGUCACGACUACAAGACAAACAUUGAAUUAGUAGUUUAAUUCAUAUUCAGGGUUUUCAAAGGAGAAACAUAGAAGCAAUAUUAUAGGUAACAUGUUUCAAAUUUGGAUUUUGAUAAAUCAUAAUAUUAUUCAGAGAUCUUCAAAAAUGUAUACCAAGUAUGAAAACGGACUACAACCACAAGAAAAUAAAUUAUUAAUUAUCAGAACAUGUAUAGUUGUAAAAAGCACAAACAAACUAUACACAAAACAAUUCUUUGCUCACAUGCUUGAACCAAUUGAACCCUCCAAGAAACAGAAGUCCAAAAAAGACACCUGAGGUGGGCCAGUCUGUAAAAUUGUGUAAAUCAUAAAAAAUGUGAAUUUCAUCUAUGAUUUAAAAAAUAGUUGGUAUAAUGUACAAUGUUUUCUUUAUCAAAAAAUGUACAAUAAUUAAAUUUGUGUAAAUCAUAAAAAAAAUGUUAAUUUCAUCUAUGAUUUAACAAUUAUUUUGUAUAUUGUACAAAAUAUAUGUGAAAAACUCAUAUAAUAUUUUAAAGUAUUCUUGACCUAUAAUAACGGACAUCCAAAGAGUCGAAUUAAGAUAUUAUAUUGACGUUCAAGUAUUCGAAUGAAAGUUCGGUCAAACUAAGCUAGAGACCGAACCCGCAAGAAUUAAUUUUUUCAAUACUAGUUAAGAAAAAUAUGAUAAAUUAAUUAUAAUAUUGAUAUUUUAACAUAUGUAAUAGGCUUAAUUAGUCUUUUGGUUCCUUAAAGAUAUUUUAGGUUUUACAAUGGUCCCUUAAAGAAAAAAAUGUCAGAAUUGGUCCCUUAAAAACACAUCCGUUUCUCAAUUGGUCCUUUCCGUCAAUUUUUUACAAAAAACAUUAGUUUUAGUAGACUGAAUUGUAAAUGUCAUUAAGUGUAAGUGGUCCACCAAAAACUUUAUUAAUUUUUAAAAUUUUACCAAUUGUAAUUUUUUGUUAUAUUUGGAGUUAAAAUUUAACGAAAGGGACCAAUAUGACAAAAAUAUAUGUCUUUAAGGGACCAAUCCGGGCCUUUUUUUUUUAUGGAACCAAUCCGAAUCUUUUUUUCUUUAAGGGAUCAUUGUAAAACCUAAAAUAUCUUUAAGGGACCAAUAGACAAAUUAAACCUAUGUAAUAAUACUUCAAUAAUCCUUUGAGUUUGGACAAUCUGUAUAAAUUAAUUAUAAUAUUGAUAUUUUAACAUAUGUAAUAAUACUUCAAUAAUCCUUUGAGUUUGGACAAUCUGUAACCCAUAAAACGACAAAUGAAGCAGCCGAGUAUUUGUCAAGCAGCUUUUCAAACAAUUAUUAUAAGUGGUAGGUUGUAUAGUAUUUUAUCUUUUUAAGGAUUUGGAUUUUCAGUGCUAAAAUUCUAAUCAAUAAUAUUUAUAAAGUAUAUGAAAAUAGUUAUAUAAUAUUAAUUAGUUAAUAAUUUCAUUCUAAAGGACACCUCUCGAAUGGAGUUAGACAUGUCCAACAUAGAACGUACGAUACAUGUUGGAUAACUUAGACAAGUGUCUUUAUUUUUUUCCUUUGCUUCCACACACUCUUUGAAGUUGGACACAUUCUAGAUAUCUAGGAGAUAAUGAUGUGGCAAGAUAAUAACGAUCAAUGGCACAUUUAUAGAUAUUAAAUUUGAUUACAUCAUUUUUAACUUUUUAUUGUAAAAAGACACAAAUACGUGAAAUAGUAUCAUAUUUCUUAGACGCACGAUGUUUGAGAUGACCUUUGAUUCUUCUAUUGAUGCUUAUGAUUAACGAUUGCAUUAAGAAACUUGCUAAUGCCAAUGGAUAGAAUAACCUUUGGACCGAGAGUGAUUCAUAAGUGGCCGUUAGCACUUUUAAAGAUGAUUCGGUAAACGCUUGGGAUUUACGAAACCACUGGAGUAAUUGCUUCUUAUUAACUCUUAACGUUUGUUGCAUUCCACUCAUAUUUAUAGAAAAGGUAACACUUGCACCGACAAACUGACCAAUUUCAGAUAUUCACCGUUAGAAUUCAGGUGGUCGCGGAUGACAAUCCUUCUUUCAUUAAGGAUUAAUUUUUAAGGGACAGAUUAGCCCUCUCUAGUUAUAGAUAUUAUUAGUGUUUCGUUCCUUUAUUUCUAUGAGGUAAGGUCUAGACCCCGUUUAUAUUUUUUUCAUUGUGUGUGAUAGAAUAUAAUAUUUUGUCACUAAGAAUAAUUAUAUUUAUAAUAAUUUGUAAUUAUUUAUAUUUAUGUAUUAUUUAUAGGUUUGAUUAACCUAUUAUUAUUGUAUAUAUAUACAUGUACUCUUGAGAGACAAAAACAACAAAAAUCAUAUUCACUUCAUUAUUAUUAUAAUUAUUAUAUUCCUUCCUCUCAAUAUUAUCUCCUCCUUUAAUGUGAAGUGUCUGUGUUGGAUUUAGUGUUUCUUAGAUUCUAAAUAAGCUAUCCUAUAAAUACAUCACCAUAUAUAUUCUCACAAACCUCUCAAGAAAUCUACUUUCAUUGCACAUAUUGUACCAUCCACAAAAUGAGUGACAAUGAAAAACAACCUCAACAACACAAUAUAGCACUCGCAAAAGAUCAUCAUAAUCUUCCAAUCACAAAAAAUCAAUCAAAUUUCAACUCAAAAAUAAAAAACCAAUCUUCAUUAUCUACCAUCCUAACAAAAAUUCAUGCAGGAUAUUUUAGAAUAAGUUUAUCUCUCUCAAUCCAAGCAUUAUUAUGGAAAAUCCUAAUUGAACCAAUCAAAGAUGCACAUGUUCUUAGACAUAUAUUUACAAUGAUACCCUCAACAGCUUUAAUUCUAUUAUGGACAAUAUCCUUAUUAACACUCCUAACACUCUCUUUUCUCUAUCUUCUAAAAUGUUUACUUCACUUUGAUAAAGUUAAAGAAGAAUUCUUUAACCAAAUUGGUGUAAAUUACAUGUUUGCCCCAUGGAUUUCUUGGCUACUUUUGUUAGAAUCAUCACCAAUUGUUCCACCAGCAACACUUCAUUACAAGAUCCUAUGGUUAGUUUUUGUGAUUCCUGUGGUUAUUCUUGAUGUUAAGAUUUAUGGUCAAUGGUUUACUAAAGGGAAGAUGUUUUUGUCGAUGGUUGCGAAUCCGACGAGUCAAAUGUCGGUUAUUGGUAACUUGGUUGCUGCACAAGUUGCUUCAGUAAUGGGAUGGAAAGAGAGUGCAAUUUGUUUGUUUUCUCUUGGUAUUGCACAUUAUUUGGUGCUUUUUGUUACACUUUAUCAGAGGUUUCCGGGGAAUAAUAAGAUUCCGGCGAUGUUGCGACCGGUGUUUUUCUUGUUCUUUGCUGCUCCUAGUAUGGCUAGUUUGGCUUGGCACUCUAUUUGUGGUUACUAUGAUACUGCUUCAAAGAUGUUGUUCUUUCUUUCCCUCUUCCUUUUCUUAUCCUUGGUAAGUUUCUUACUAACUUGUUUUCAACUAAAUUAGGAAUUAAGAUUAUUGGUCUCUAAGACCCUAUUUGAAUAAACAUUUUAAUUAAACACUUAACAUAUAAGUGUUAGUAUAUAAACUUUUUUUAUAACAAAAGAAAAAAAUAUUGUCAAGUUUUUGCAUUUGCUCUCUGGUUCUCAGGAAAAGGGGACCCUAGUAAUCCAGAGUUCGGCCGUAAAAUUAGAAAAGUCUGACCAAUAAUUAUUUUCACCAGGGAUUCUCUAAAAAUUGUUUUCAUAAAUUACAUUGGAGAGCUUAUGAUAAUGAGAUAAAAAUAACUUAUAAUGAACAUGAUAUAAAUUAUUUUUAUAAGUUCUAUCAAAUAAUUUCACAAAAUUCUUGUGUCAAUAAAUUUAAAUAAAUCGAUUCAAAUGUGAUCUAAAUCAUUAACUAAUUAAUCAAUGAACUUUUUAUUGUAAAAACAAUAACUUAUAUGUAUCAGAUUUGCCUUACAAUUGCUAAGGAAAGCUACCUAAUGUUAAUUCGUAGUAGUUAGUGAAUCUAAGUUUAUUAAGGAAAACUGAUGUCAAAUUCCUUACGUUCCAUUCUUUUGACAAAAAGCUUAAUUGAUUUGUUUUGUUCAUCAUUUGGAAGUAUCUAAGUUGAAAUCCAUUAGAAAGCUGGUCCCUUAGUUAUAGAAUGACUAUGACCUUUGUUGCAAUAUAAGUGGUACUUAACUUGGACAUUUUCAUGUGACUUUGUUUCUUUGAAAAUGAUAUGCAAGAAUUUUAAUUUUAUUUUGUGGUCCCCUACUUGUACUAAUGCCAACCCAAUAUUUCCGUUUUUGUAUGGUUGGCAAUUCGUAGUUCACGAGAAGUAACUAGGAAAAUAGGAUAUAAAUAAAUAUCAGCUAAAUUAUAUUUUUAACGUUCUAACUUUUAUAAAUUUUUAAUUUUGACACCUUAAUUUUCAUAAUAGCUUUUUUGUGAGCAAACAAUGAUUCACAUGUCAUGACAGUAUGUCAUGUAAGUCAUUGUCCACGUGUGCGUCGAUUUGAUCAACAUCAGUGAAAGAUGGACAACCUUUUACAAAAGAGGUUAAAGUUAGGAGGUAAAAAAUUAAGGGCAAAAAUAUAAGUUUGUGAAAGUUACGGGAUCAAAAGUACAAUUUAACCAAAUAUUUAUUAUGUAACACUGACAGUAUUUUAGUUUGAAGGUGUGUUCAUUAUCUAACACAUGUUAACAUACACUAUUCAAUCACGUUUAUUUCUUAAAAAAUUACUAUCAGUGUCUAUGUAUUAGUAUCAGGUAAUAAUUAAAAAAAAAAAUUGAUACUUACUAUGUUUUUUUUUUAUGAACAACAAUUAGGUUUCAAGGCCUUUGCUAUUCAAGAAGUCUAUGAAGAAAUUCAGUGUGGCAUGGUGGGCUUAUUCUUUUCCUUUGACUGCUUUGGCAAUAGCUUCAGCACAAUAUGCACAUGAAGUUAAGGGAAUCAUGGCUCAUGUUAUUAUGUUUAUCUUAUCAUUAAUCUCAGUUUUGGUUUGUAUCAUGUUAAUGAUUGUCUCUGCUCUCAACAUUAGGAUGCCAUUAACUGCUCGAAACCUUUCUUCAAAACAAGAAGUAACAUCGGAGAAACUUGAUCAACAAUAAUUAGUUAUUAAUUGGAAUUUCAACUUCAUGUAAUAUCCAUGUGUAUAUCACUAACAAGAGGUUUUGGGUUAUUAUAUAUAUACCAAGAAUAUUUGUGUGUAAAAAUGUGUAAAAGAGUCUCACAUUCAGUUAAUAUGAGUUAUGAAGAACAUAUAAUUAAGGAAUCUGUAUAUAUUAAAUGUUUUAAGAUUUUGAGUGAUGAAAUAUAUAUAAUGUUCAAAUUAUUUAGGUAGUUGCUCGUAGUUUAAUCUGACGAUCUCAAUAGUUUAGACUCACAACUGAGUCAAUAAAAAAUAAAAGGUUAGACUCACAACUCACAUUAAUGAAAUCCCAUUUUAGGAGUGAUUGUUGAUGUGCUAAGUUUAUCUACAGAAGUCUCACAUUAAAUAAAUAUAUGAAUAUUGAACAACAUAUAAGUGAACAAACUCAUAUAUCCGACGACUUAAUUUGAAUAUGUUUUGGAAUUUUUUUGGAGGGAGGAGAAGAGAUAAAUCUUUUAACUUUUGAGAGUAUUUUUGUGGAGUCGUUUGGAGAAUAGUACGACAAUAUGAAAAGAAGUUGAAGAAUUUAUUUAAUUUCUCAAAAAUAGUCUUUGAGUUCAAUUCUAGCUCCUAUAAUAUGAAAAUUUUGCAUAACAAAGAAAAAUAAUUUUCUCCAUUCAAGUUGUAGGACUAUCAUUCCUUCCAUUUACCUUUCUCUAUUCAUUUUUAUUAACACCUCCCCUCCCUCUUUAAGUUCUCGAAUAAAUCAGCUUUAAUAUUUUAAGUAAAAAUUUAUAUCGUGUCCAAACAACUUAAGUAAAUAUUUUGAGCAACAAUAAGCUCUUCAAAUAAAUUAGUUAAAAAAAAAUGCUAGCUAGCAACAAUUAUUCUUUUAUUGGAUAAAAUCUAUAUAGCUUCUACCACUUGUCAUGUGAUAAUGAAUGACAUUAUUUUGAUCUUGAUCUUGAUCUUGUGUCAUGUUUUGUUUUGCUUCCUUUAUUUUGUUGUAGGCCACAUAGGAGAGGUUCCAGUCUGCUUCCUCUUCAUGUUAGCAACAAAUUGCAAGCUAUAUAUCAAGGUGGUGUAUAUUGAUUGGUACAACAACUUAAUUUAUUUGGUAUAUUACCCAAAAAUGAAAUCCAAAAGUUUCUCUAAGUGUAUCAGAAAAAUUCAAUUAACAAAGGAUAAUUCAUUUUAUAUAUCCAAUGAUUUUUUUUCAAUAGAGAUUAAUUACCACUAAAUAAUAGUACCUAUAACAUAGUACUCUAUCCGUCCCAAAACUUUGAUCUUUUUAGAGUUUUGUACAUGAAUUAAGAAAUCAUAAAAAUUGGUAAGUGAAGUCAUUUUUACCUUUACUUUAGUAAGAAGGAGAAAAUUAAUUUUAACGAAUGUUUUAACUUUUAUAAGGGUACAAAUGAUAAAGUAUCAAUAAUUGUACAUUGGUUUCUUUAAAAAAUCAAAAUUUUGGGACAAAAUUUAAAAACUAAAAAGACCAAAAAUUUAGGACGGAGGAGUAAUGCGGCUGUUGUACCUAUUAUGUUGCGGUCUUUGCGAAGAUUUUAAUUACACUUCAAUUUAGUUAUAUAUAUAUAUAUAAUCCAUCUGUUUUUGUCAUAGUUUUGACCGAUAAAAUAUGAAUUGACUAGGCUUGAUUUGAGAUUUUCUUUCAUUUUAAAAGACAGAGCGUAUAAUGGAGACACUAAUAUCCACCAUGAAUUUGUCUUCGAACCCACUUUGCUUGUAUUAAUUUUUUUUUUCUCUUUCAAAGUAUACUCCUUUAAACAAACUCUUGAAAUACAUUCACUUGUUUAGUUUUAUUUUAAGGGUGAACCUUAAAAGUUAAAAGGACUGUGUCUUCUAUAUUUCAAGUUUAAAAAAUUAUAUUGUUAAUUAAAACGACAUAAAUUUGAGUUUUUUUCUAAUACAAAAUACAAUAGUUAUCAAAAUUCAGUCAGAGUUCUUGUGGAGUGGAGAAAUCCGAACCCUAUCAGAUAUGUGGUUGGAGUUUUAUUUUUCGACCCUCUCAUAAGAGAUUAGAACGGGUAUGAGGUUACCCAAACUUCAUCAAAUUCGGAAAUAAAAAAUGCAAAAACUAUAACCACCCUAUUGUGAUGCCUAAUUGCAUCAUGAUGUGGUUGUACAGAAAUCAAUGGUUACCAUAUCAGCUCAUAAUUUUUAUCUUAAACAAAUGGUUAUCACUGUCAACAGUUAAAAGAUAUAUUCUUGAGCUAUUUUUUUUAAAGGCAUAAAUUUGUUGCUUUCCUAAAUAACCAAUUCAGAUGAGUCAUUAUUCAUAAAACAUGUCAUUAGACAUUUGACUUAAAAUGACUUGGAUUCAAUUAAAUACCUAUCGCUAGCAAUCUUCCUUAUUAGUACUAGAGGGCAAUUUGUAGAUCAAUACAAAUGAUUUACUAAAAGAAACUUAUGCUAAUCUUGAAAUGGAAAAACAUUUUUUCAUUCUAAAUAUUUUUAGUAAAAUAAAAGCCACAAAAUUCAAAACUUAACCCACAUUACUAUGUCAAAAAAACAAAUUAGACAAUUAGAAACGAGAAGUAAAAAUAAAAAAAAAAUUAAUAAAAUCAAGUUAAAAUUAAAAACAGUACAUAGCUAUAAACAAUAAAGAAGUCAUUUCUUCAGAUUGUUAGAGAUUUAACCCAAAACAGAGAACACAAUGAUGAAAGAGAAAUCUACUACUAAUAUAUUAAAAUCGAUUAUCACCAAAAUUACUAAUUUAUCCUUAUUACUUUUAACAACGUAGUAAGUUUUAUAUUUUUCAUUGUAAUUUCAAUAAAAAAAAUACAUUUAGAAAAAAGAAUCUAAGAUAAAUACGAAAAANNNNNNNNNNNNNNNNNNNNNNNNNNNNNNNNNNNNNNNNNNNNNNNNNNNNNNNNNNNNNNNNNNNNNNNNNNNNNNNNNNNNNNNNNUUUUCCUCCAGAUUUCUAGCGCAUCCCCCAAAUUUCUAACGCGCCCCCCAUUUCCAAUUAAAUAAUAACUUUUGUUCCUUUGAAGUACAUAUUAUAAGAAUCUAUUUUCAAUUAAUUGUGUUGGAUGAUUACAUAGUCAUAUUUUAAUUUAAAAUUACAUAUUAAAACAUGUACUGUAAUUAUGGUUUAAUUUAUUAAAAUUAACAUAAAUCAUUAGACGAAACCAUUGGUUUUUUGUUUUAUUACAAAACCAUUAGACAAUUAUUUUGGUUUCACAUAGAAGACUAUCAAAACCAUUAAACCAAACUUAUGGUUUCAGUAAUAAUCAAUAUUUAAAAUCAUUAAACCAUUUAGUGUAAAACCAUUUUACAAUACAAAUGGUUUCAGUGUAUAACUACCUGAAACAAUUUAACCAGCAUAAUAGUUUCCAGAAUUUUUAAAACCAUAAAAGCACAAUAUUGGUUUCAGUAAACACAUAAAACCAUUUUACAAUACAAAUGAUUUCACUGUUUAACUCUCUGAAACCAUUUAACCAGCACAAUGGUUUCCAGAAUAAUUGUAUUUGUCUAGCUUUUUCAAAAUCACUUUGAAACCAAAAUAAUUGUAGUUUGACGGUUUUGAUAGAAUUGUAUGUGAAACCAAAAUAAUUGUGUAAUGGUUUCUAAUAAAAUAAAAUAACAAUGAAAUUAUUAUUGUUAAAUGGUUUUAAAUAAUGAUUAUUACUGAAACCAUAAGUAUGGUUUAAUUGUUUUGAUAGUCUUAUAUGUGAAACCAAAAUUAUUGUGUAAUGGUUUCUAAUUAAUAAAAUAAAAGAAUAAUGAAAUUAUUAUUAUUAAAUGGUUUUAAAUAAUGAUUAUUACUAGAACCAUAAGUGUGGUUUAAUGGUUUUGAUAAUCUUCUAUGUGAAACCAAAAGACCAGACUUAUAAUUUAUUUUUUUGAAAACACCACACUUAUAAUUUUAAAACAUCUUAACUAGGAAAUUGUAACGAAAAUUCAUAUUCUCGAGGAAAACAUACAACCAGAGAGAGUGACUGGCCUCAAAGGGUCUCAAAAUAUUUAAAUAAUUUUGUAUAAAAUUCUGUGAUUUUUUCAAGAAAUAUUAAUAUUUUUAAUAACAUUUCUUCCUCAUUUAAAUAAUUAAAAAUAGUUACAGGUGUCCAAAAAUUUCCAAUGAGAUACCCAAAUUUCAAGAAAAUUAUGUAUUAUUUUUAUAUAAACAAUUUGUUUAAAAACGGAUUUAAUAGGGACCCUCAUGCGCUUCCAUGCGCCGCAGCUGCGACUGCGCGUGGAUGACGCACACUGUUCAUCUCCACUUUCACCCAUUUCAGCAAUUCGCGGGUCACGCGACCCGGUUUACCGGCCCGGUUCGUUCUCUCUUGUUUCUCAAUGGGAGUCGACGAACCUUAUACCGUUUUGAUCGUCGUUCGAUUUUAGAGAGAUACCUUAUGUUAGUUUCAAAAAUCGGCAAUCGAAUCACUCGUAAAAAGANNNNNNNNNNNNNNNNNNNNNNNNNNNNNNNNNNNNNNNNNNNNNNNNNNNNNNNNNNNNNNNNNNNNCAAAUCUAAUGGUUGUGAAAGCCUUAUGCACCGUGCAUAAGAAAAUGUCUUAUGCACCAUAACUUUUGACCACUCUCCACACUUAUAUAAGUGAGACAUAAUGUGCCAAUAAAAUUGGACUUUUCUCCACAUAGGAAGGAAGCCCAAACCCAACAGUAAUAAUGUAACUUGAUUUUAGUAAAUUCCAUCGGUGUUUUGUUUUCUAUGCCUUAAUUAAUUUCUGUUUUUCCCGUUUCUCUUUUAUUUAUUGAUCAUCAUCAUAAGUUUUCCAUAAAAUAGAACUUCAAGACUCUUUAAUUUCGAUACUGCAUUAACUGAAAUUAUUUAGAAACAUUUCAUGAGAUUCUUUAUUUUUAUAUUUUAUUCCUUGUUUCUAUUUAUGUAAAAAGUGUUUCAAUUCUUGAGAUCAUUUUCUCUUAUUAGGUUUUUAAUACUAUAAAUUCCGUGGACAUCUAUGAUAACCUUUAAAAAGGGGAUACAAUUUAUACAAAUAGAAGUAUUUAUGAAUGUCUUAUGAAAACAAUGGUGUUAUUUUUAGGAUAUGAGAAGACAUAUGGAGAACACCAUAUUUUGCUCAGUAUAGCUUUCCAGAGGAGGGGUUUUUGGCAUACAAUAUUGUCUAGGCAGGCAAGUGCACCACUCUCAUCUUUUUAUAUUAUCUCAAACAUUGGCCAACUUUCUUUUAUUUGACAAAGCCAGGUAUUUGAUAUAUGUUCAUAAAUGCAUAUUUCUGAUAUCUUCUUUACAGGAGACUUGAAACCAUAUUCUCAUUGUCGUCACUAACAAAAAAAAAAAUAGUCACAUUCUGCAUGUUUACGAUUGUUCAACCAAAGUGGUAUUAACCUGAGAACAUGUAUAGGUGAAACAACGUGCCAACAUGAGUUCUCCUAUUUUGAUUUAGUAUUAGCAUCUUCAAUUGUAAUAAGAUGAUUUUAGUAUGCGAAACCAUAUUUCACUAUCUAAGUGUUAACCCGCCGGAUAAUAAAAGGAAUAGUAAGUAAUAUAAUGCCAAAUUACCAAGCAAUAGUAUGGGAGAGGGAUUUCAAAUACUUAACCUAGUUUUCUCUUAUAAUCUCUUUUAAUAUUUUAUUUCCUGUUCUGAAUCAAAACGUUUUUCAAACUAAAAAAGUGAAUCAAAACUAUCUAAAUUCAUAAACAAAACUAAUCGUUUUGGCACGACCCUUGUGGAGACGAACUCAUUCAAUUGAGAAUUUAUUACUAGAUGACAGACUGAUCCACUUGUCAGGCCGUAGUCAUGUCCUCUCCUGAGACACUAAUUAAUGUAACAAAAAAUACAUAAUUUGCAAUAAAAAUAUGCUAAAUAAUUUUUUUAUUUUUAGUUUUCUUAACUAGUGUCUCCGAGGCACUAGUUAGCAUUAAUUUUCCUACAAUAAAAUAAUCUGGAAGCUUGUGUAGUUUAUUUCAAAAUAUAAAAAAUAAAAAUCAACACAAAAAUUAUCUUUUUAAUUUCCUUAACUAGUGUUUUUGUUGCAUCAGCAUGACCCAUAAAAAAAAUGGAGAAUAUGGCACAUGUUAACAAGAUAAAUGUGGAAAAAAUUUAUUGAACUUGUGGUGUAUAUUCAAAUUAUUUAAACAUUAAAUUCUUUGUAUUAUUAAAUGCUAUAUUUCUACUUUUAGAUGACUUAACAUGUGCCCUUAUGACAUAAGUUAACCUGACCCAAAAAAUAUAUAACGAAGAUUAAUAAAAAAAGAAUAAUGAAGAUUGUAAUGUGUGAGAUAUUUAUUAAGGUUAAAUGGUGAAUUGUUUGAGCCAAAAGCAUAAACAAAUAGACAUUUAACAUUAAUUACAAUUUUAUAAAUGUCUUUUGGCAAUUGAUAAUCGCUAAAAACUAUUUUCUGAAGUUUGCAAAGCACGGAAUUUCUAUUUAUAAAGCAGUAAGCCAAAUUUUAUUUAUCACAUGCAUAUAAGGAUAAAUAUGGCUCAAAUUCUUAUGAUUGUUUAUGCUUUGAUAAUUUUUCUUUCUCUAUUUCUUGUUGUAAUCAGUGGUGGUAUGUCAUUUUUCACACAAAUUUCAUAUUUUCUAAUUAUUUAAUCUUACAUAAUAUAACAUCAAAUUUUACUAACCUUCCUUUUUUUUUUAGACAAUUCAAUAGUUGACAUGCCCUGCGUUUCAGAUGAAGAUUGUCCAAAAAAGACUUCCAUGAUUAUGAAGUGCGUCCAAAAUAAAUGUAUUUUCAUUUUUCAGUAACAAUUAAGUUUAAAAAUAAUUAUCCUUCAAAAAAAAAAGUUUAAAAAUAAUUAUGUUACUUUUAAGCGUGUAAUUUUAUUUAUAUCCAAAAUAAGUGUAUGUUUGUGUUGUGAUGUUGUAACAAUUAAAAUUAAAAAUAAUUAUGUUACCUCUCUAAGCGUAUAAUGUUUGUACUUUCAUAAUUAACUUCAAAAAUUGAUUUAUGUAUAUGCCGACAUUUCAAUGUUUAUGACAUUCUCAAAAGCAUGUUAUUAUAUCAUGAAAAUAUUCUUAACUUUUUUGUUUUUUGGGAUUGAAAAUAUUCUUAACUUUGUUUGCAAUAUUCUUAACUUUGUUUGCUCUUGGAAGAUAUCACAAACACAUUUUUCAAUGAAUUUAGUAGGACUUCUGCAAUCCUUCAAGAAUUAUCAUAUUGACGGUUAUUGUUAAGAAGUCUCACAUCGGUGUGAGAUGGUCUGAAUAAGUGUUUAUAUAUUAGAGACAAUUCUCACCUUACAAGCCGGUUUUGUAAGAAUGAGUUAGACCCAAUACUCAAUUCUAAGAUGGCAUUAAAGCCUCUCCAAGAUCCGUUGGGCCACCCGAUAUCGGGCCACCUACCAUUUAUAUCCGGGUACCAAGCCCAAUAGCGCUGGACGCGAGGGCGUGUGUUAAGAAGUCCCACAUCAGUUGAGAGAUGACCUGACUAAGUGUAAACUAGAGGCAAUCCUCGUCUUACAAGCCGGUUUUGUAAGGAUGAGUUAGACCCAAUACUCAAUUCUAAGAUGAUAUUAUUUUUAAGAAGUCUCACAUCGGUUGCGAGAUGACAUGACAAAGUGUUUAUAAACUAGAGACAAUCCUCAUUUUACAAGCUGAUUUUGUAAGGAUGAGUUAGGCCAAAAACUCAAUUCUAUGAGUUAUCUCGAUUCAAAGAAAUAGAUUUGAUAUAUUACUUUAUUUUUAGAUCGUAAUAAUGCACAUAUUUUUAAAGUGUGUGAUAUUAUUAUUAUUAAACAUUUAUAAAGAUAAAAGUGCAAAUAUCGCAGUAAUUUGGAUCAUGAUGGACAAAGUACAAUCGUAUGGUACAACAAACUACCUUAUAAAAGACCUGCAUCAGAGAGAAAUGCAAAAUUUUCAAACUCAUUAGAAGAGAAGUCCCAUAUUAGAGUGUUUUUUUUUUUAAAAAAAAAAAGUCUCAUAUUAGAUGUGAUAUGGCUUGGAAUGAGUAUAUAAGUAGAGGUAAUAUUUAUCUUUUUGUAGAGUUGAGUUAGGUCCGACUCUCCAUUCUAAGAUUGUAUCAGAGUCUCUCCAAGAUCUGUUGAGCCAUUUGCUAUCAGAUUUUUCGAACCACCUACCAUUCAUUUCCACAAACUAAGUCCAAUAGUACCGGACAUGAGGGGAUUUUAAAAAGUCUCACAUCGAAUGUGACAUGACUUUUACAUGGGUUUACAACUUUAUAAGUAAAGACAAUAUUCACUUUACAAGCCGAUUUUGUAGUCUAGAGUUAGACCCGACUUUCCAUUCUAAGAAGAGCUCCGAAGAUAAACGAUGUAUACUUUUGAGACUAUAUUAAAAGAUUAAUGUAUCUAAAAAAUGAAUUUUUUCUUAUAUUAAAUGAAUGAAGUAUAAUGCACAAAUUCUAAGAGAAUAUUAUCAUAUUUGUUUUCUUAACAUACGUCUAAUUUGAAUACUGCUAUUAAAAUACACAAGUUUUACAUAAAGAAGAGAUAUUGUAAUUAGAUAUUCUAACAUGGGCAAGUUCUAACAUGUACAAGUGCACCAUAUGGUGCACGGUGCACAAAUUAACGUUUUUAUUAUAUCGAAUACGAAUUUUACAAAAUUUACCGUUGGAUUGAAAGCUUAUAUCAUAUAGAUCAUUCAUAAAAAANNNNNNNNNNNNNNNNNNNNNNNNNNNNNNNNNNNNNNNNNNNNNNNNNNNNNNNNNNNNNNNNNNNNNNNNNNNNNNNNNNNNNNNNNNNNNNNNNNNNNNNNNNNNNNNNNNNNNNNNNNNNNNNNNNNNNNNNNNNNNNNNNNNNNNNNNNNNNNNNNNNNNNNNNNNNNNNNNNNNNNNNNNNNNNNNNNNNNNNNNNNNNNNNNNNNNNNNNNNNNNNNNNNNNNNNNNNNNNNNNNNNNNNNNNNNNNNNNNNNNNNNNNNNNNNNNNNNNNNNNNNNNNNNNNNNNNNNNNNNNNNNNNNNNNNNNNNNNNNNNNNNNNGUCCUGUUCUGUGCGUUGUAUUCUAAUAAUUAUGUGUUGGAUUGCCAGAAAACCCACCAAACGUAAUAUCUACUGCAUAUUCCCUAUGCUUUAACCAACAUGUGGGUUUGUGAAAUUUAUACAUAUAAACCUACCAAUAUGAAGAAAAAUAGGAAUUGAAUUUUUUUUCAUCACAGUAUCCGGCCAACUAGACCAUUUAAUCUGUUUCGGUAGUUGGUUAUGACAUCAAAUUGUUUCAGCUACUUCCGAUUACAAUUGCCGGGAUUGAACUGCAGUCUUUCCUACUAAAUUCAACGUCAAUCAUCACUAAACCAACUAAUGAUCGGAUAAAAUUGUUUAAAUUUAUAGUAGCGAAUCUGUCUCAGAAUAAUAGUGUCCUCAAAAAAGAGAUAAAGUACAAAGUAUAGACACUAACAGAGGAUAGUAAGACAUUGCUCUUAAGUAUGGCCACUUUGGGUCCCUUUGCUUCAAGUCCAUUAGAUUCAACUGAUGCAUAUAAUACAUAAUGCAUUCAAUUGGGACCAACCAUGCCCACUUUGUUCUGUUUCACUUGUUUUUAUUUUAUUUGAAUUUACUUUUUGACUAAAUAAAUUUUAUUGAUCCUUUAAGGCUAAUGAUGAUGAUGAUGUUUUAUUGGUGAGUGAAUUCCAUCCUUUUUAAAAUAGAAAAUAAUUUAGUGAAUUGCACAGUAUAAAACCGAGUUUGAUUUUUAGUGAGAAUAAUUUUUGACCAAAUUUUAAUUAUAUCGUCAUCGGACUCUGGAUAUUACCAAGUAACCUUUUCUCCGGGAACCACGUGUUAAUAAAAAAAAUAGAAAACAAUUUUGCUUAAAGAUGAUAGAAAUAGUUCAUCGUGGAUAGUGAAAUUGAAUACAUGAAAUUAUAUAUGCAUAGAGCUAACCUACUUGGGUUGGUGCAUUGGUAUUGACUUGGGACUUGGAAGUGUGCUCCUCUUGAGGUCUGAGGUUCGAUUCUCUCUGACGCCAAUUUGGGUGGGCUAAUUUAGCUUCUUCAAAAAAAAUAUAUGCAUAGAGCUAAUGAAUAUUGUCCCAUAAACAUAGUUUAGUUAAUUAACGCGGACAUCGCAUCUUAUUGCAUAACUUGAANNNNNNAAAAAAAAAAACUAAUGAAUGAUGAACAAUGGAUAUGAACAACCACCUACUAACCUCUAUUUAAUUUGUGACUGUUACAAUAAUAAAUAAUCAGGUAGUUAAUCAUUCAUAUACUGCCAAUGUACUAUAAAAUAUCAUGUAUUUAUUUACGUCGUAAAAUAAAAAUGAACUUCACUUUUCACUUUAAUUACGAGUACUUUUUGUUUAAGGUCCAUAACAAAAUGAAAGAGGGUGAAAAAUAUAAUUUUGAAUAAUUAAAAUUGAAUUAUAAAACAUCUAAUAAUGAUGGAACUAUCAUCUUAACAAUACCUAGUUGAAAAUUAUUAUCACUACUACCAACAAAACUACCAUCCCUACAAAUGUGACUUUGACCCUUACAAAAUUUCCCACUAAUUCCAUCUUUCACAUUACUUUUCACCAACUCAUCAUUAGAUGAACCUAUCUCUAACCCACAAUUGCAAAAAACAUCAACUUCAUUUUCUCUAAUUGUGAUCCAAUUAUCAUCAUGAUUAUCAUGCCACCUUGCUAAACAAGGUUCCCCAGCUAAUCUUUUGAUCCUAUCAUCAACAAUAGAAUUCUCUAACUUAAGGCUUUGUGAUUCUUCCAUAGAACACCAAAAGCCUUGUUCAAGAAUACUAGUUGGUGAAAUUGAAUUAGAUUCCACAACUUGCUUAGAAUUGGAACAUAACUCUUCAAGAAAUGGAUGACUCAAAAGUUGACUAGCUGAAAACCUCUCUUUUGGAUUCCUUCUUAAGCAUUUUUCUAUAAAGUCCUUUGCUUGAUGAGAUAAAAAACAUGGAAUUUUAGGACCAUAAUUUGAAUAUGCUAUAUGAUAAAGUGUUGAAAUUGGGUCAUCUACAUUAGGCCAUGGUGAAGAACCAGUUGCCAUUUCAAUCAUAGUGCAACCAAGUGACCAAAUAUCACUAGGAUAUCCUUGUUCUUCACCACGUGCUACCUCCGGCGCCAUAAAAAUUGGGGUGCCACGGAUUGGCGCUGCGGCUUCAUUUAUACUCUUAGCGCAACCAAGGUCUCCAAUUUUGGCUCCAUCUUCUCCAAUCAAGAUGUUCGCGCCCUUAAUGUCACAAUGCACCAACCCUUUUGAAUGCAAAUAAUCUAACCCUUUUAAUAUUUGCCUUGUAUAGCACACGAUGGUAUGCUCAUUGAGCAGUCCACCGUGCUGACUAAGCGUGCCAAAUGGCAUGUACUCCAUGAAUAGAUUGUACAUGAGCUUAUUGUUCUCCAUGGUAAUGUCAUAACCUUUAUAAGUAACAACAUAAGGAUUAGGAUAACAUAGAGAAGAUAGAAUAUUUUGCUCUCUCUUUAGUGGCUCACAACAUGAAAGCUCCGAUGACUUCACGGCACNNNNNNNNNNNNNNNNNNNNNNNNNNNNNNNNNNNNNNNNNNNNNNNNNNNNNNNNNNNUGACUUCACGGCACAUAUGUCGCCGUUAAGUGUGGCAAGGGAGACGGUGGCGGUUGAGCCAUAUCCUAUGAUGUGGCCUCUCUUCCACUCCAUGUUUCUAAAUUGGAACAAAGCUAUGUUGUUGAAAGUUGAGUUUGAGUUUGUUAUUGUGUCUAUUUAUAUGUGUAGUUUUUUUUGGUGGUGAUAUUUUUAUAUACCUAAUUGAGUAAUUAAAUAAUUGUGACAAAAUUGAGUUUGAUGAGGCUUUGAAGGAUGGUUUUAUGAAAAGUGUCCUUUUUAAUUGGGUUGGCUACUUAAUUUGGUUGGCGUUCACUCUCUAUCUAUUCUCCUAUCUCUUAAGUUGUCAAUUAUUUCAACAAAGAGUCUAUAGUCAAUGAUGUGUCCAAAUUUGGGUGGUUUCACAUUUUUCGUCGGCAAUGACUUGGUACUUAACACGUGGGAAUGGUUUUCAUUUUAUACUUUUCAAGUUUAAGAGCUCAUGUGUCAAAUGAAAUGAAUUCGAACUUGCUCCAUAUUAUUUUUACGGUAGUUAGUGACUAAAUGUAGAAAAAUUAAAGAAUUUAGAGUUUAAAUUUCGACCCUCGAUAAUCUUUCAUGGUAGAUAUAUACCAGUAAAGCUAGUUUUUGGGGUCAAAACUUGCUUCAUUUAUCAAACUCUAUUUAUUAUUUGUUUAUGCGAGUAAUAAAUAUAAAUAAUAAAUUAAUAAAAAUAUUUUAAUAGAUAGGCAACAUCAACCAAUCGUUAAUUGAUUUAGUGGUGAUUGAUGCUGAAUUUGGUAGGGAGAAUCAAAGUUCGAUCUCCCAACACUGUGAUCGAGAGAGGGUUGAAACCACUUAAUGUCAGAACUGACCCCUAAACCAGAUUAGGAGGUCCAGUAUUGAUGGUGAAAAUCAAAAAAUAAAAAAGAAAAAUAGGUAGCAUCAAUGGAGAUCUCAUUAUUCUUUGAGUUAUAUCACUUUUUCAUAAAUAGACAGUAAAUAAAGAGUAGAUAAAUGGAACAAAUUCAAACUAAAAUAUGUAAUUAAACUAGAAUUCUGAGUUUAGAUGGUAUAUUAAAGGGAAAAAGGGGUUAGAGUUUGGAUGAGGUAGAUGAGAUGGCAAUCAAGAAUUAGAUUGCUUGUUUUGUAUUAUAGUUAGUUUAGUUGUUAUAUUUAGUUAAAUUAUGUUUGAAAAUUUAAUAUUUGAGGGGUGGAUGGGUCAAGAUGAAUCGGGUGGUGGAUUGAAGUGUUGAACCACCAAAACGGUUGGACUUUAGUAGGAGUAUUUUGAUUUGAAGUUAGUAUUUUUUGGUAGGGGGUUGAAUUGUAUUAAUUUUAAGGUGUGAACAUGUAAUUAAUAUUGCCAAAUUAUAAGUCGUAUAUGAGACAUUAAGGUAAGGAAUUAUACAAGUCAACUGGUGCAGGUGAUUUUGGUAGAUAAACCGCACUCGAGAGAUAAAAUUACUGUUUUUGUCAUUUCUAUUUUCAGUACUAUAAUCUUUCUAGAAAAUGGCUCACAAAUGUAGUUGAAGUUAAUUUAUAUUUUAUAAGAAAUUAACUCAAUAUUUUAUUGUCCAUAAAUCGUAACUCAACUAGCAAAUGUUGAAAUUGCUAGUGUCGAAUGUCAUGACGGCAUUUAAAUCUCAGUCACUCCACUUUUUGUGUGUGAGUUUUCAAUGACUUUAUCAUAUUUUCUAUCAACCAAAAAUUGAUAUAAAAAAAAUAGUACAAUAUUUAAUGAAUUUCUCAAUCUUUGUUUGACAUGGUCUUAAUUAAUGAAACUUCACAACUUUUUCAAUUUUUUGACAAACACUUUCAAAAAUGUUGAAUCUGAAUUAGAGGUGAAAUGAGGUUAAUUAGAUGUUUUCUAAUUUAAUUUAAUAUAUAAUAAUUUAUAUUUAAUUAGUUACCACUUCUCAUGAAAUGUGUUGCGCUGGCACAUUAAUUUACAUGGUUCAUAUGGGAUCGAAUCAGACUCGUUAACGUGUAUUCCAAUAAUAAUUAGAUCGGACCAGUGUGACCCAUAUAUAUAGUCAGAUCCACCGGGCAAGACCGUGUUAGGUUGGGUAGGUCUAUUUGACCAUUCUAAUCGUAUACGUCCAAUUAUAAUUAUGUAAUUGUUGGCACAACUAAUAACAGAAGGAAAUAAUAACGAAAGCAAAUGAUAAUAAAAACACAAGAAAUUUGAUAACUGAGUUCCCCAAGUGGCGGGUACGUCUCCGACGAUAGAGUUCGUUACAUCACGUUUCUAUUAGAUGAAUGAAUUAGGAUUUUAAUGUUACAAGCGGUGUUUAUAAUUAUAAUUCGGUUCAGAUAACAACAACAACAACAACAAAUACCCCUGAACCGUACACAGCUCCAAGGGUGCCCCUGUCUCUUCUUUAUGCAUAUGAGUCAUACUCACCAAUAAUUAAUACAAAUAAGGGUUUUGUUAAUGACACAUGUUGAGAACUUGAAAGUGGAAGUUUUAUAUUGAAGAAAAAAAAAACAAAAAUACUAUUUUGACUUCAAAAUUUUGAAAGCACUAUUUUAAGCAUAUUAUUAUUUUUAUUGGGUUUCUUAACAUUUGUCCUUAUGAUACAUGUUAGCUUUCUCCUAUAAAUAAAGAAUCAUAAAACACGUGUUAUUUUUUAUUACAUAAACGAAAUGCCUAAUCAUUGAAAAUCAAACACACAAAUAGUAAAGAUCGGAGUUCAAACUAUGAUCAUAACAUUUGACCUAACCAUUUCGACAUUUCUAUCAAUUGAACAAAAACCAUUUAUCGAUUAAGCAUUUAAUUCAUUUCGGUAGGAUUCGGCAAAUGACUUUGCCCCAGACAGAGUAGGGAAUCAAGAUGUUCCUGUAUUCAUCCUUACAUAUAUGCGAUGUCUGUGAUUUUAAACUGAUACACUUCAUCCCCUUACAUUGGUUUAAUUUAGUGAAAUUUCUUGGGGAACACAUUGUCGGCUAUUUUAUGGGAGACUAACAAAAUUUCAAUGCUCAUAAGUCUUAAGACACAACUAGCAACGAUAGACUUAAUAUAAGGAACGGUUACUAAAUCGAUUAGGACAGUUCAAGGUUCCAAUCUUACCUAAGAUAGUAGCAUUCAUGACAUUGGAAGUCCAUAGAGAAUGAACUUAAUUUAUUUUCUCUAUGGUUAGCGAAUUGGUGUUAGAGAAGUUAGUUGGAGUAAUCAGUAAUGUUGCAAUUUUUUGGUUGAAAUGCUUAAUCAGUUUUUGGGCGAGUCAUGCAGAGUCAAUUUUUGGUUUGUGUGAUGAAAAUAUAAAAGUGGCUUUCAUCACACGUAAGUCACGUGGUCCUCUUUCCUACCUUGUAUUUGUGUGAAAAAAAGUUUUUUUCGCAAAAUUGAAUUUAGGUCCAAUCUAACCACCAACACGUGUUUUAUAUGUAUGUGUGUAUAUAUAUAAUAUACACACGUGUGAACAUGAAGGUGCUACGUAUAAUGGGUAUUGAAACUAAUGGCUGAUUCAGGAGGGGCACAAAAUAGGUCUACAAAAAUAUUUUAAAUAAACCGAUAUUUUAAAUAUAUUAUUUAAAAAUUAUUAAAAAAUUUAAGAGUUAAUCUAUAUUUUCUAUACCAAUAAUAAAGGAAAAACUUGAAAUUUGGUGUAGCCUCUUUUGUUAUUUCUAAAUUUAAUUUUUAUUUCAAAUUUCAAAUCUAUACUGAUAAAUACCACAAUACCUUAACAUUUUUUUUAACUCUUCUUAACUUCUAUCUAAUUAUUAAAAAAAGUCAAAAAACUCAAAAAAAUUAUUAAAAAAAUAAACUAUACCAAAAAUAACUUUUUUAUAUAUAUAAUACCAAAAAUAACUUUGUUACACAGACGGGCACGUCUGGCCACUAGUGAUAAUUAAACAAAUUUAGUUUUAGUAGGGAUUAAAACUAUGUGUAAGAAAAAAAUUAUAAGGACUAAAAAUAUAAUAAAAAUAAAAUAAAGACUAAAUUUUUAUUCAAAUGUGUUUGGCCCAACUUUUCAUUUUAGAAGGUCCCCAUUUUUAUUUUUUAGUAGGGAUUAAUUCAGAAAACAUAUUUAACCAAUUUUUUUAUUCAAAUGGUUUUCUGAAUUAUUUUUAUAAUUAAAAGUAGUACAUUUCAGUUCAUCAAAAUAUCUUCAUCAUAUCAACAUUAAAUUAAUGUUAUUAUAACUUUUAAAUUUUUUAAAAUGUUUAUUUAACCAUAUUUACAUAAUUAGAUUAUAAAAGUAAUAUCAUCAAUAACUCAAUGAUUUAAGGGCUAAAAUAUUAUAUUAUCUUACCAAGUCUAAUAUAUAUAGACCAUUCGAAAUUUAGAAGAACAAUAUGAUCAAAAUUAGAUUGAUUAGUCUCUAAAGAGAAAGAGAGGGAAAAAUUAUAAUAACAUAUAGUAAUUCAUCUAUGAUAAUUAUAUACAUGAUAUUUUUUGUUCUAGGUGAACAUCGAUUUAGAUCGCCUGCUGUAGAUAAAGCACGCGAUUUCACGUUGUUGUGAAUCUUGCAGACAUUCCAGAUUAAAUCUAGAAAAAUAAUACAAAAAAUCAUAUCCAUCAAAUCGUGAUCGAAUAGUUCAGAUGCAGUACUGUGUCACGCAGUAACUACACAAAAUCUGAUUUUGGGUGAACAAAAAGGGCUAAAACAGCUAAAAUCCUAUGGAAAGGAAACAACCGUAGCAUCAGCUAAAACAAUACUCAUAAUAAACGUCAGGACAUAAUCAAAUAUAUGACUACCAUAUCCAAAAAAGAAGAAAACAAUUGAUAGCAAUGGGCGCAACACAUCCUUUCAGAAGAAGAUGAUGAUGAAUGGCCAUUUUUGAAUUGGACUCAACCUAAACCUUGGAGAAGCCUCUAGCCUAAAUGAAUACCCCACAUCUUAGCACAGUAUAAAUGUUUUCGUCCGUCCAAUGAUAAUCAACGAUUAAGAUAUAUUUUUGAAUGUUUGAUUUAGACCGUUCGCUUUUAAAUAAACGGUUACUAUGCAUUACUGCGUAGAACUGUGUCAUUCCUACGACAGGGUGUCCCGAUCCCAUCUUAGGGUGGGUAAUGGAGCAAGGUCCAACUUUCACUAUGGUCUCAGAGAACCGCACCACUAGAAGCAAAACUAGACUUGUUGAUCACUGCACUGCCUAAGUGAGUUUAUAAUAAUAAUAAUAAUAAUAAAUAGCUAGGCAAUGCAAUCAAUUAAAAAUACUAUAACAAUAUUUCAACAUAAAACCAAACACACAAGAAUAGGGAAAUAAUAUGAGUAAUUUUGCAUAUCAAAAGAUUGUACUCUACUUCUUCUUUUUUUUUUUCCAAGUAGCACAUUGGCUAGAAAUUCCACCCAUAACUCCAUAUGGUGGAUAAGUGGGAUGACUAGGAUUCGAACCCCGGCCCUCUACAUAUAUAAUGCAAUGUGUUACCAACUGAGCUAAACUCACGGGACCAAAAGAUUGUAUUAUAUUCAGCAUAGUAAUGAGUGAUAAUGUAACCACUAAAAUUAAAUCUCCAUCCCAAAAAACAAUCUAAGUAAAGUAUGAGUACUUUCAUUUGAAUCCCAAAAUGAAAGAAAAGGACAACAAUUUAGCUCAACUAAAUCUUUGAGUCUAAAUAAAGAAAAUUAAACAAAAUAAAUCUCAUAAUAAUGGAAGUUUGAAAAUUGGAAUAUAUCUAAUUCUACUCCUUCCCAUUAUUAUUGUCGCUACUUGCGAGAUUUGCAUUGUUGUUUCCUGUUCCAUCGGUAGCAGCAGCAGUACUAGUAGUAGUACUACUAGUAGUAGCAUUGCCGGUUGACUGAGAAGUACGCAUAAUCGAAGUAAUAAGAGCAGCCAAAGCAGCAGUGAAAUUUGGAUCAGCAGCCAUGGCUUCACUAAAUGCUUGUGUAACAUUCGGGACUACAAUUUCAGAAAGGUUUGUUGAAUUUGGUGACAUAUAAAGACCAGACAACUUUGAUUGGUCUUGAGGAAUUUUAGAAGAUGAGGAGCUUGAAAAAUUAUAAGGGUUUCCAGGAAUUUGCUGAUGAUUUUGACGCCUUGAGGGAUGACUACUCGAAGGUUUAGUGUAGUCAAUUGUAACAAUUGGCAAAAGAGAAUUUGUUGAGAUAGUUGGAGAACUUGAAGAUUCUGGAUGAAGUGUUUUUUUAACGAAAUCUACAUUCAUUUUUCCAUCUUUGCUUGAUGUUGAUCCUGUAAGAAACAUUUUUGCAGCUGAUGAAGUUCUUUGUGCCAUUUCCGCGGCUUUUGGAGGUAAAGAGUGGUUGUGAUACCCUUCAUAUGUUGUGAUUACAAUUGUUGUGUCUUGAGGACUCCUUUGUAUCUGUUAAUGUUAAACCAGAAAAGAUAUCUGAACAACAACUUUAGACAAAAAUACAAAAACAAUUUACUUUUUUGCUCUUUUUAAAUAUUUUCUGAUAUGUCUUAGGUUGCGUGCACAGACUCAGAAGGUAUACGGUAUCUAUUUGUUGUUUGAAAAAAAGUUGUUCAUAUAGCAUGGAAACAUCAGCAAUGAAAGAUUAAACACUCUCAAUUUAAUAAUAUUGUUAUUGUUUGUGCAUGAAUACUUAUUUGAGUUAUUUCAUAAUUAAAUGAAUAUUUAGUACAUAUAUAAAGGUAAUGAAUAGUAAUGACUAGUGUUGCGAGCGCAAUCUAGGCAACAUUAACGAGUUUAAUGUAUCUACAACUACAAUGCAUGUAGUUUAGAUUUGCAUGAUCAGUCGCAUUUAACUGUAAUUCUCAGCAAUAUCAAAUAUAGUGAUACUAUCGCAAUGAUUAAUGCGACAAAGAUUUUAAAUACCUUAAUAAAUACACGUAAUUUUAUAACUUUAUACAAAGAAAUAUACCUGUUUUCUAACCGGGCAGCCAGCAGCCAUGCUGCAUCGAUAAUAAGAUCGAGCACAUGGGUUUCCUUUCGCCAUUUUUUGACCAUACUUUCUCCAGUGGCCUCCAUCUGGAACCUAAGACAAUCAAAUAGAUUUCUUUUGGUUAACAAGGACGAAAAAAUUAUCAAAAGAAAAAUUGUAAAGUUGAAAAAAUAUUACCAUGUCUUCUUCUGAUCUAGCUCUAACAGAAACUCUUGCUUUCCCCAAUGCAUCCUCAACUUGAUGAAUACUACUAAAAUUGUUUGAAGGAUUCAAACUUUGAGUUUUGUCAGCAUUACCUAUGGGACUAUCUUCAUUUUCAAUCCCUUUACCAAGUUCCUUCUUUUCAUCACUAACAUUAAUGUUCUUUUCUAGGACUAAUUCACGGGAAGCAACACCGGUGUUAUUUGUCAGCGAUCCUAAUUCAUCGCGACUUCUUUUUCUUCCAAUUGAUGAAGAGGAGGGAUCAAGAUCCAUCUCGGUCUCAGCAUUAGGAGCCAACUCGAAAUCAAUAAUUUGACCUGGAACCAAAACUUUACCAUUCUCAAUUCUGUCUUUCUCUUUAGACUUUUCAUCAACCAUACGGUAAUGCAUCACUUUAUUGAAAUGCAUACGCAGGGUAUCGUAAUCUGUUUGAAGUUGAUCAAGUAUUAGCUUCAAUCGACGAUUCUCCAUGUUUGCUCGAUCAAGCUCACCUUGAAGAAUAGCCAUCUGAAAACAGCUCAAAUAAUUCAAACAUUUUCAAAAGUUACAAAGCUAAGAUAUUUUUGUACGAGAGCCAAAUAAAAAAAGAAAAAUAAAAGAAAUUUUUAAAAUAUAUGAAAUUAACAAUGUUUAUUUAUAAAAGUUGAGUUUGAGCACAUUUUAAUUAGUCAAUUUCAUUUAUAAUUGAAUCUAUAUAUCAAACUAACUAUCAAUGUCUUUUAUGAGGUGAAAAGUUAAACUAUUUGAAAGAAACCCAUGAUCUAUUUUAUUUUGAUUUAACAAAGAUUAAAAAAUAAGAUGAAUAAAAUUAUUCAUUUUACUAUUGUUUCUGCUAAUUUUUAUAUUUGAAGUAGCUAAAUAAGAUUAGAGUAAUCAAACAUGAAAAUAUAUGACUAUUUAUUAAAGAAAAACAAUUUUGAUAUUUUUAGGGUAGCAAAAGCUACCCGAUUAUUGUGAGAAGCUAGCUUCACUUAUGAUCGUCACAUAAAAAGGUUCUAUGAAACAUUGAUACAUACAUAAACAUCAAACACAACACAUAAAUUGAUAAAUCAACAUCUAAUAGUAAUUUAAAAAUAUUGAACAAUAAAAUAUGACAACAUGUAUUGAUGUCAUAUCAAUGUCGGACAUUAAUAUGUCUUGACAUAACAUCAGAUUUGAAUAGCGUCGAUUCUAUAGAAAACAUUCAAUUUAAUUUGACACCAAAAAUGAGAUAAAAAAUAAUUUUUGACGCAAAAAUGAGAUAAAAUUUUAAAAAAUCAAUCAUCAAAGAAAUUUCAUUAAAUUCAACUUUGUGUUAAUAUUAUCAUAAACUUUACCUGAUUCUUAAUACUCUUGUCGUCAGAAGUAGGUGACAUACCAUCAUCCACCAUAGAUUGAUCACCGCUAGUAUUGGGGUUAAGAAGAUCACUAGUGCCAGUCUAUAAAAAAAUUACAUAUUCAGCAAUAUAACAUCAUGAUAAAAAAUAAAUAAAGAAUGAUUGAACUUAAAAAUUCAAAAACUUAAAAAUUUAUAAAAAAAUAUAAUCUAAUAAGUGAAAAAAAUAAAAAUAAUGAGCUAUUGAAAUAUGAAUCACCCACAUUGAGUUUGAUUUUCAAUAAAGAUGGUAUGUUGGUAUCAUUGUCAAGGGCAAAGGCAGAGAGAGAGACAACCUUAUUAUGAUCAUUGUUAUUAUUAACAUUAAAGAAAUCAAACUCUUUCAAUGUUUCAUGAGAUGUUUGGUUUUCAUUGGAGCAAUUAAGGUUGAUUAAUUGGAAUGGGAUUGUACUUUGUGUAUCAACAGCAUCUAUGCUGUUUUUGGGACUAUGUGUCAACAUGGGAUUGUUUAUGUCUUCAGUGAAAGAGUUAAGAACAAUUGUGUUGUUAUCAAUUGGAUCUGAAUCCAUUGAGAUUUCACUCUCUCUAGCCAUGAAAUUGAAAGGGAGAGCUUUUGACUAAAGAGAGAAAGAGAAGUGUUUAAAGUCUUAUAAGGGUUCAAUUCAUUUGAAAAAUAAAAAAUAAGUGUCUUUUCUUUGGUUUUUUUUUUUUUUUUUGAUAACGUCUUUUNNNNNNNNNNNNNNNNNNNNNNNNNNNNNNNNNNNNNNNNNNNNNNNUAACAUUUUCUUAGAAAGAAAUUUUAUAAAUUCUUUUUUGGAAAAUAGAAAUUUUAUAUAUUAAAAAAAGAAAUUUAAUAUAUUCUUAGACCAAGGUCAACAAAAAAAAGAAAAAAUCCGAUGACCAAAUACUAAUUAGUUGACCAUUUCAUAUGCAACGAAUUCAACCCCCAUAUAUCAUUUUUUUUUCAAGAAAAAUAUUUUAAAAAAUAAUAUCGUACUUAUCCCAACAAAUUUUAAAUUUCUAAAGAGAUAAAAAUGGCUUUUACUAAAUUAUUCUCAUUAACUAUAGUAAUAAUUAUUAAUGUCAUAAAUGUUAAUUGGAUUAUUGACUUGAUUAUAUUGAAAUUUUGACUAGUUCAAUUAUUUUGACUCACAAAUACUGUGCUAUUUAGAUUUUUUGAGUUGGAAACUAAUUGAUGACAAAUCGUCACACUCUCUAAUCCAUGCCUAUUUUAGCAACAUUAGAUACAUUUUAGUAGGUUUUUAGCAAUAAAUAUAAGAGAAAUCUAACCAUAAGCUUGAUUACUUGUUUUGCAAGAAAANNNNNNNNNNNNNNNNNNNNNNNNNNNNNNNNNNNNNNNNNNNNNNAGAUUGGAUCACGCGCCGCGUGAUACCGUUACACGCGCGGCGUAGUUGAAGAAAGUGCAACCACGCGCGGCGUGAUAGAUCUCACGCGCAGCGUGGUGGCAGUCAGUAUAUAUGGAAAAGUCAGUUUUCUGAAUCUGGGUUGGAAAAUUCUGCAACAUUGGACUACAUUCUGGUCUUGGAACUUGAAGAUCGUGAUUCACACUCCAGUGGAGAGCUCCAAGCGCAUCAGAUCAUGGAUUCACANNNNNNNNNNNNNNNNNNNNNNNNNNNNNNNNNNNNNNNNNNNNNNNNNNNNNNNNNNNNNNNNNNNNNNNNNNNNNNNNNNNNNNNNNNNNNNNNNNNNNNNNNNNNNNNNNNNNNNNNNNNNNNNNNNNNNNNNNNNNNNNNNNNNNNNNNNNNNNNNNNNNNNNNNNNNNNNNNNNNNNNNNNNNNNNNNNNNNNNNNNNNNNNNNNNNNNNNNNNNNNNNNNNNNNNNNNNNNNNNNNNNNNNNNNNNNNNNNNNNNNNNNNNNNNNNNNNNNNNNNNNNNNNNNNNNNNNNNNNNNNNNNNNNNNNNNNNNNNNNNNNNNNNNNNNNNNNNNNNNNNNNNNNNNNNNNNNNNNNNNNNNNNNNNNNNNNNNNNNNNNNNNNNNNNNNNNNNNNNNNNNNNNNNNNNNNNNNNNNNNNNNNNNNNNNNNNNNNNNNNNNNNNNNNNNNNNNNNNNNNNNNNNNNNNNNNNNNNNNNNNNNNNNNNNNNNNNNNNNNNNNNNNNNNNNNNNNNNNNNNNNNNNNNNNNNNNNNNNNNNNNNNNNNNNNNNNNNNNNNNNNNNNNNNNNNNNNNNNNNNNNNNNNNNNNNNNNNNNNNNNNNNNNNNNNNNNNNNNNNNNNNNNNNNNNNNNNNNNNNNNNNNNNNNNNNAUGGGAAAACAUACCGUAUCAAUUAAAAUUAAAGGGGAGAGAGAUUCAGUAACGAUGAUAGGAAAAGUAAUUAUAAGAAAGUUAUCAUUCUAGCCUUCCACUCUAAUGUUUGUGAAUUAGAAGAAGUAUGCCUUGACUUACAAUGAUUAGAGUAAGUAUAUUGAAACCAAUCAUAAGCCUCCUUAAUAUCCAACUGUCCCGAGUGCAAUUUCAACAUUCAACUGUGUAGUUCUUAUGAUUGCAUUAUAAAGCUAAAACAAUUUGUGCAAGAACAAGAUGUGCAGGUGCAACAUGUUGAACAAGAUGUGUCAGACAUCUUAUUAAUGGACAAAGAACGUGUACGUGCAACAUGUUGAAACAGGAUGUCCCAAACAAUGGUGUAGGACAUCUUGCCAAGUACAACAGGCUGAAGAACUUAAAGUUUAUCCAAGGCGCGCGAUUCUCUCCAAAGUUUGUUACAAGCGCAAAUUUAAGAUUGUCACCUGUUUAAUGGUGAGAUAAUAAAGUUUGUUAUCGAACCUGCGUAUUAGAUAUUAUUGAGGAUGAUAACUAACUUUGAUAAAGAAUACGAUUAAACCUUUUAUCUUAUGAAUUAAGUUUUAAACAAAGUUUGUUUUAAAACUGAAUCAUAUGAGCUUGCAUCCAACGAUCUCUAUAAUCAAGAGGAGAUGCAGAAAGAUUAACUCGAAUAUUUUUUCUUAUGAAGAAAGUUUGAAGCAAAGUUUGUUUUUAAACUAAAAUCCCUAUUAAUGUGUAUCUCAAACAAAUCUACAAAAUCAAAAGGAGGAGCAUGCCUAUAAAUAGAGACUCAAGCAUACAUUUUCAAGCACCGCAAUAACUGAAGAUUGUGAGUCAAAGACCUUGUACCCACUGUGUAAGGAUUGUAUCAGCCUCUAAAGCUUAGGUGCUAAGGUUUAGUUGCUAGGUUGUUGUUGAAUGUUUAUUCAACAUUAUUUGUAAACGACAAAGAAGUUUCAUCACUUGUGACUAGUGGUGAGAGGAAGGUGAGUAGGUUACAAAAACUUGUCGAAUCAGUUGUUUGAGACAUCCGACAAUAUACACGGUUGUCCAAGACAUCGUGUAAGACAUCUGUCCCGCCGAGAACAAAAUUUCAAACUGGUCAAUUAACUUGGCUUGGAAAUCAUUUUCAUUACAAACACUAUUCGCCAUUUCAUAUAUUUUAACUUAAGAUACUUCAUUGCACUCCUGACUCAGAGGGAUGUAUGUACAAGAACGGUCAUAGUAGAACAACCCCUCAUCGGGAUUAACUCUUAGAAAUUAUGUUAUGUCAUUGUAAUCUAUAGGGAUAAGCCGAUAAUCUUACUAACCGAAUAUUGCAUUCCUUGGUGGUAACACUCUCUCUCUAACAGUUCUAGCUAGGAUGAUCUCAAUAAUUGGCCCGAAUUUUUUAUUGUUAAUAUCAAGUUCAUCAAUGAUGAACAAUUUUAGUGAUCGAGCACACGAUCUAAAACCACUGUGUAGGGUGAGAACAUUCUAGUCUUCAGCCGUGGUGACAAUAAUUUGGCCAUUUAUUGUGUGGUCUUCGCUCUGCGGCUUAACCUCAACAUGAUAUGUAGUCAAAUAUGGUCCGACAAAUUUUUAAUUAUUUCAUCGACACGAGCAUGUGAAGGGGCUAAGUAACACAUUUAGAACUGUCACCAUGAUGAUGUAUCAUAUAUGUACUAUAGAGCGAACAUCAAUGUCAAGCUUUCCAUCUAUGGCACCACAAACCAUAAGAUUAUACGGUUCUAAGGGAGCAUUAUAUGCCAAAUUAUGACCUUAAUGCAAUGGUUCAAUUCCCUUAAAAGCGGUUAGUCUGAUAUAGCAGAAAGAUCAUAUUCUUUCAUUGUUGCGCUGAAAAUUAACAGAAAAUGAGACAAUUAAGAUAACUAAUCCAGUGAACCACCACACUUGUGUGGAGUCGAAAAAUAAAAUAGCAAAUAAACUACAAGAUAAGCAGCUGUCUUUUACAAGAGCAUGUAAAACACUGAAAAACUACAUACAAACAUACACACACAUACAAAUUUAAACCAAUUAUAGAAUUCUAUAAUAAGGGAAUUCACCAACAAAAUAGUCAUUCAAUUGUUGAUUCGAAAAAUAAAGUAUCAAAUAAUAAUCUACAAGAUAAGUAAUAUCAAUGUUUAAACAACAUACAUAAAAAAAAAAAUAUUUAAACAAUAUUUAAAUAGGCACCCAACGCAGCUUUAGGGUCACUUUCAAGCCAAAAUGGUGUCCCAACCGUGGCUCGCAGCUAACUCAAACGCAAGAAUCAAUGCCAUAAAUUCAGUAUGAAGGACAGAAAAGUGAGGAAGUUUAGAAGCAAAACUCCCAAAAUGAUUGCCAUUAUGAUCACGGNNNNNNNNNNNNNNNNNNNNNNNNNNNNNNNNNNNNNNNNNNNNNNNNGCUGUGCGCUUGUCACAAUCAAAGUUUUAAUCUUCAUUUUUGCCGCGUGAAUAGAGACAGAGGCAUUGUUAAAUCGAAUUCCAUUCCUUGCCAUCCAAAUAGUAUGGAAAACGUGAAUGUAGGGGUGUGCAAAAAAUUUGGCUAUCCUUAACCAAAUUACUAACCAAUCUAUAUCCAAUCUUAGUUUGCAAAAUCCAUUUAAAAAAAAACUACACCACUCCAAUAAAAAAACAUUAAUUAUAAACCAUAACCACAUUUUGUAAUUUGGUUUGAAAAUUCAGACCCAAUAGCUAAUUCAGGCCCAAUUUUCAAUUUUUUAAAAUUCUUUAUUAUAUAAUAAAAUAAUUAAUUAAAAGAGGUAGUGGAGGACCGGUGGUCAACAGGCGUCAACGCCGGACCACCGGUGGCCGGCGCGGCGGCGCUCCGACCGGCACGGCGGCGUACAACAGUUUUCUGACGGUGGUCCGGUGACUUUCGCGGCGGCCGGCGACGGUGCUCCGGUGGCGGUGCUCCGGCGGCCGGCCACCACCGACCACCCAUAAUAUUUUAUUAUUAUUUUAUUUUAAAAAUCAGACUUUUAAUAAUUAUUUUAAAAAUAAUUAAAAAAUCAGUUUUUAAUGUUUUUAGUUUUUAAAAAAUCAGUUUUUUUUUUAAAAUAAUUAAAAAAAUCUGUUUUUUUUAAAUAAUUAAAAAAUCAGUUUUUAAUGUUUAGUUUUUCAAAAAUUUAGUAUUUUAAUUUUUUUCCUAUAAUAAAUAUUAGUUUCUUUUGUAUUUAAAAAUCGGAUUUUUUAAUUUUAAAAAUUACUCUUUUUUUAAUUAAUAAUUUCUUUUUAAAACAAUAUAAAAAACAAGUUUUCGGCUAAGUAAAAAAUAAUUUGGGUUUAGAAAAAAAAACUUUGUGGGUUGAUUAUAAACCAAUUCAAUCAUAAAAUUAAUGAAAAAUUAUGUUUUUAAAAUAAAUAAUAAAUCUAUUUUUCUUAAUCAACUAAUAAAAAAAAUUUGUUUAGGUAAAAAACCUAUUUAAAAUUGGAUCAUGUGAAUAACCUAAAUUUUAUUACAAACCGGUUAUAAAUUGGUUUUGAUCCGGUUAAUAACCAAAUCCAAAUUAGUUUUAAAAAAUAACCGGUUUCUCAUUAAAAUGGUUUUGGUUUAGAACCAAAACCAUCAAUUAGGCAUGGUUUGGAAACCAUGCACACCCCUACGUGAAUGAUAGCAGCUGUUGCAAGGUCCAUAAUUUGUGCAUCCCAAGCUGACUUGCAGCUGUCAAAAAUGCUAGAAAUAGAAGAGGUAUCAAAGGUGUGGUUAAACAAUGAAUUUUAGGAAUGUCAAUAGCAUGAAUACGAUCUGAAAUUGCAGCAACAAUGUCCGAAAUAUAACGAGGAAUAAUCCAGACAUUAUUCGGCUAUCAUAUCCGCCACCGAUGAAUGCAUGCGUUUAGCAAUUGAGCCCGGGAGCUGAAGCAAAUCCACUAACGGUUUGCCUAACCAAUUAUCAUUCCAAUAAGAAAUACUCUCUCCAUUGCCAAUAAGCCAAAUGGAAUUAUUGACAGCAGUAGUGAAAUGUGGUUUCAUACCGUGCCAAAUGGAAGAGUUUAGGAAGGAACGAGUCCGGAUGCCAUCUUUAAUGUAGCGAGCUCUACAUAGUAACGCCCACUGAUCUUGGCUAGAUAGAAGUUUCCAGCAUAACAAUAGCAUAAGGGAGACAUUUAUGUUAGACAAAGGGCGAAGGUCCAACCCUCCAGCCGCAUAUGGGUUACAAACUUUUUUCCAAGCGACAGUGCAAAUUUUCUUCGUAUUAAUGUCACCACUCCAAACAAAGUUCCUUAUCCAAGUAUUAAGCUUCUUCAGAAUAUUCUUUGGCCAAAGAUAAACAUGGAAUGAAUAGAUAAGCAUACCGUGAAUAAUUGAUUUCACCAAUUGAACGUGACCCAUGAUAAGAAGGUUGGAAUUCAUGUUGUGCAGCAACUUGCCAUGGAGGGAAAAAUGCUGGACCGAAUUAACAACAUCGGAUGCGACUAUGUGACAAUAACAUUGAUAAAACUGGCCACUGAAGCCGUCCGGACCUGGUGCACCGUCGCCAUUCAUGGUGAAAACGAUGUCCUUGAUUUCCUCACGGGAAGGUACGUGAAUGAGCAUUUCGUUGUCAUCAGCUGUUACCAAUUCUGGAAUGUUAUUCUCUACCAAGUUGUUUACAGUGCAAUUGUUUUUUUGACAGAAGAUGCCUUUGAAGUAAUGAAUAAUUUGAUUUUCAAUCUCAGAAUCACUUGUAACUUAAAAAAUAUUCAGUUUUUGGAUCUCUCAGAAAACAAUUUGUCAGGACAAAUUUUCAAAUGCAUGAUGAAUUUUUAUGCAAUGUCUCAGAAUGUUUCCCUAGAUAGAACAGGAGAUUACAUUUUCAGUUAUCCAACUCAAGGUGCAUUUAGCCGUGGUUAUGAAAGCAAUGAUUUGGUUGCAUUGUUGAUAUAGAAAGGUUCAGAAAGACAAUUCAAAAAUAAUAAGCUCAUUUUGAGGAGCAUUGAUUUUUCAAGCAAUCAAUUGACAGGAAACAUUCCAAAAGAAAUAGAAAACUUGAUAGAAUUAGUGUCAUUGAAUUUAUCCAACAACUAUUUGAGUCGAGAAAUCCCUUCAAAGAUUGGAAGGUUAACAUCACUUGAAUUUCUUGAUUUGUCAGGAAACCAUUUGUCUAGUUUAAUUCCUCCUUCUCUAGCUCAAAUUGAUCGCUUGUCCGUGUUGAAUCUGUCGGAUAACAACCUGUCUGGAAGAAUUCCAAUUGGAACACAGUUGCAAAGUUUUGAUGCAUCAAGCUAUGAAGGGAAUGCUGAUCUUUGUGGGAAACCACUUGACAAAAAAUGUCCAGGAGAUGAACAAGAUGCACAUCAGAAACCAGAAACACAAGAAGAAAAUAGUCAAGAAGAUAAAAAAUCACUUUAUUUGAGUGUGGCAUUGGGAUUUAUCACAGGAUUUUGGGGACUAUGGGGAUCAUUGUUUCGUAGCCGGCAUUGGAGACAUAAAAUAUGUCUUGUUCUUGAACAAUAUAAUUGACACAAUCUAUGUGUUUAUAAUGCUGAAUGCAACUAAAUUUCGAGUGUGGAUUAGAGGUUUGCAGGUAACCUUUUCUUGUCUCUCUCAUUCCAGCCUUCAUAUAUUAUAAUCAGAAGUUUAAUCACUUGAACCACCGUUUCAAAAAAAUCACUUAAACCAAGAAAACAUUUAUAUAGCUCCAUUUGUUAAUUACUUGACAAGCUACUAUCAUGAUCACAAUUUGUUUAUAGCUUGGUGAGCUUACAACAAAAUUGUUACAUCAAAAUUCUAGGUACUUUUUUUUUUCAAAACAAUGUUUUACAAUUUAAGGAUGAUUAAAGACUUGAAAUAUUUUACUAAGAAAAUUAAAAUUUAAAAAAGAAUAAUGAAAAUUCACGAUUUAUUUAUUAAGACAUAGGAAUAGCUUAUACAUGGAGCAUUUCUUUGAACCAUUUCCAUCUUGGUUGAAGAAAGGUAGCAGGAGAAGUAACUGUGAUCAGACAAAAAUAAGGAGUUAUUCUCCAACUUCAAAGUUCUCUUGUUAUGUUUAUGCAUCAAUAAUUUAAAUAAUCAUUUGUGAAACAUAUAUGUUGUGGGAUUAAUGUUGUUUCUCUAAAAAAACAUGUUUUAUGAUCUAAGUAUUUGGAUACUGUAAUGAUGCCACUCAUAGUUCUGCAUCUUAUAGUAUAGUUGUAUGAAUGUUAUAUGAUUGAUGUGAAUCACCAUUUUAUAUAUCUUUGUGUUUCUUGACAUGUGUCGACAUAGUUACGUGGAAUUGGCCAAUGCAAUUUUGAGUUUCCUUGAUGACUUUAUUGUUUGGUCAUGGUUACUCAAAUGAGGAAGAUGAAAUUAUGCUCACUGAUGGGGUAAUGUUUAUCAUUCCAACUAAUAAAAUUGUAACAACUGAAAACAGUGACUAGAAUGAAAAUUCGCUCGCUUCAGAAACAACUCUCGCUUCGUCUUCUAUGUACACUACCUGCUAGUCCUAUACUGACCAUCUUGAAACUUCAAACUGGUCUAGUUUUUCAGGUGAAACUUUCUUACCACCUUCACAUUGUAUAUUUCCUCCAAGGAUUUCACUAUCUUCAUUGCUUUUACGUGAUACCCUCGUAAAGAAGAGUUACUCCACUUUUUGAAACUCUUUAAACCAUUGUUGAUAGGAGAAUAGGUGAAGGUUGAUGUUGUUAACUUUCUAUACUCAAUUUUGAGAAGCCAAAUAACACAGACACAAACUUACACAAGGGAAGGCAAUAGGUAUGACCUGAGAGCAAGGGGUCUAGGAAAGGGUGAAGCUUAUACCUAGCUCUUACUUUUGAACCCACAACAAUUAAAUAAAGACUAAAUAUCUAUUUAGUCCUUGAAAUUAUAAAUGUUUUCAAUUUAGUACCUCAAAUUUGGUCCAACAAACAAUGCCUAACUGCAGAAUUUUGCAGUCCAACAUGAAAUGGUUUGAAUAUAAAGAUCCCUAAGGUUGUGGAAUUGUGGCCUUGGAGCUUUGGACAAUUAAUGUUUAUCUGCUAAUUGGGAUUCUUUUUUUUUUNNNNNNNNNNNNNNNNNUUUUUUUGAAAACUCGUAUCCGGCCUAAGAGCCGACUAAUCCUAAGGAUCCAAUCCCACCGUCUACUUGCGGGGGACCAUUUAUAGCCGAACAAAGCUCAUAGUAAGGACUAAUCCAACAAAAUAUUGGCACCAGGAGGAAUCAAACUUGAGACCUUGAGAGGAAGGCACUCCAAAGUCCCACGCCAACAACACUAGGCCAACCCAAGUAGGUCAUUUGGAUUCUCUAUUGAUGCACUGUUUUUGUUCAGCAGCUGGUACACAUUGCUGUGGCUGUGCUCUCAUCAAUGUUAACUUCCUGCAUAACUGUGAUCUUACAAUAUUCUAUGAUCAUAUUCAGUGUCAUAUUCUAUGAUCUUACAAUAUUUUUGGGAGGUAACUUUUACUACAACAAUUACUCAACUUUUAUUUUUAAGAGUUUUCACUAAAACUAUCACUGGCAUUUCCAACAGGAUCGGGUCCUCUUGAUCGUACUACUUAUAUGUUCACUUAUGUAUAGAACCUCGGCCAGGAUCGCCAAAAUUGGAAGAAUUGUUGGAAGAAUACUGGAAUCUGAUGCCAGAAUAUCAGGCUAGUUUUCUUUUCGUAUUAUGUUAUGAGUUCUUAUCUUAUCUUUUGUUACAAAAAUAGCUUAUACAUAAUCACUUAUAUGAUAA
rnacentral:lncRNA from 1 species